UUUUUUUUUUUUUUUGUUCCUAGAACUGCUAAUAGUUGUAGCUAUGCUAUGGCAUAAUUUGCAGUUAAGUCAGUUAGGAUAAUUGAAUGGGAAGGAUCAUUCCCAUAUUGGUUAUCAGAACUAGCUAGAAAGGAUAUGGGGGUAGUUACCUCUUUUUGUAAUUAACUCUUGUGUUAUUAAGUGUUAAUAUUUAUAAAAUUGGUAUCGUUGUUUAAAACAAAAACUAAACAUAAAAAUAAAAGAUAAUAACAUAUAAGACGCACCAGACUCAACACACAAAAGCAACUAGAUUCAACAAACUCAAAAAGACUAGACUUAGACAAAACAUCAAACACAACAAAUGCAAUAAAUACAACUAAAAUGUCUAAAUUAAUAAAGUUACUCUUCACACCAAUAUUGCUACAAAUCUUUUCUGGUAACGACGCCAAAAACUUGACGAGCGCGGGUUAUGCAUAUAACAAUUAAGCUCAAUCCACAGAUAAGUUUUACAUUUAUAAAUUUUCAAAUACUCCACACACGAUUCUCCACAAAUAUAUGGCUCGUGAGCGAGUAUAGGGUAUUAAGGGUCGAUCCCUCAAGGAAGACGGGCAACUACUGGCACUACUAAAACUUCUUUAUUAUUUAGACUAUCAACAAAUAAACUAAGUUAUAAAUGGAUAGAUAAAUGCAAAUAAAAGCUCCUUGGGUAAAUGGAAUCCUUAUCUAUUCAUGCUAGUGCAACUCUCUAACCAAAUGAGUACCAAAAUCUCAGCUAAAUUAUGGCAUAAUUUUCUAAUAUAGUAAUACUCGCUUUCGCUGAUGUACCAACUAUACCUAUAGUUAAUUUAUACCUACUUUCGUGAUUAUGAAACCAACUACAAAUUCAUUAACUUCUAUAAAAUCACAUGGAACAAAACCACAAAAAUCACAAAGAUAUUUCUCUACUUUUGUGAGUGUACUCCAUAGGUUUAGCACUUCGAUGAACUACUGUCAAAUUCCAAUUCUUAUUACAAAUCUAAUACCUUUAGAUGAUCAUAAUCAAUGGUUAGUUAAUCAUGAUUAUAAGACUAAAAGUGCUAAAUAACUCAAUCAAGAUAAUAGCAUCAAUUAACUAAGAAAUCAACACCCAACAGUCAUAGAAAGUUUAACCAAAUACCCAAGGCAUAUAUUUUAAAUCAACAUCACAAAUACAAUAUCCAAAUCUUGCAUGAACAAAACUUAGAUUUCAACACAAGGAUAAAGAUGUGGAAAGAAGAAAAUUCUUAUCACUAGAGUUUCUUGAACCUCUCCUUCUUCAUAUCUUUUGGCCUCUUUGUUGAGCCAAUACAAGAAUAGAUAGCCACAACUAGACUAUACAACACUAAACUAUACUAAAAUAAGAGAAAAUAAAGAGAGUUACAUUUGUUGAGUGCUUGAGUAUUGCCUCAAAGGGCAAGAAACAACCGUUUGGUUGUUUUUCUUCUUCUCCAAACUCUCUCUCUCUGUCUCUUCUCUCAAGCUAACUUGAACUCAAAAACUCCCAAACUGGAAGAACUAGGUAGUAUAUAUUCUUGGUCUUGCAUUAUUGGAGCAAAAAUGUCAAAGACUGAAGCUCCUAGAAUCCCUAAAAGUUGGUACUACUUGUCCCUUUUUGUCUUGUCAAAAAUGGAGAAAGAAAGAAAAAUCAUGCAAGUUGACAACUUGCAACUGCCAGGAAUCUCUCGGACAAAUCCCUCGAGGGAUUCUCCCCAAGAUUGGGUGGAGUAAGUGUUUCAUUGAUUUUCUCUAUGAAUUGAAGUUUCUACCCAUAAAUUGCAGGAGAAUUCGUGGGUGGAUUCCUCGAGGGUUUCUUCUCACACACACACACUCUCUCUCUUUUUCUUUCCUUGCACCACUUCUUUUAGCAUUUGUUGUGACUUCUCAAGUUUCUAUUCUCGCAUAUUUCGCUUCCACUUGAACUCGAUCAUUUUACCUACAAAAAUAACGAUAUUUUACAAGUAAAAUGACAAAAUCACAACUCAUUCAUUUAUCAACUUAAGGUGCAAAUUAGUGACCUAAAAUUGACAGGUUGUCGAGCCUGUGCAAUAAUAAAUACCUGCUCAAAUAAAGGAUAAAUUUUGUAUAUAGUGGUAAAUAGGGUCGAAACCACAGGGAUUGGGGAAAUUCGUUUCUCCUCAAGUUCAAAAUAUGGGGAGAUUUUUAUAAAAAUAUAAAAAUAACUAAUUAACCAACUAAUAAAACAACUAACGGAAAUAAAUAUGAAUUAAUCAAUUACAAGUACGACUUUAGCCAAAGGUGCAACUUUUCAAACAUGGUCCAUUCAACUGAUCAUCGAUGCAAUGAAAAUUUAAUUACUCAUUAAUAAAUUGAUUAUAGUUGCCAUACACGCGAUAAACAACCAACUCUUCCUUACUUUUUCAAUAGUCAAGGUAUGACCGUUAACUAUUUUUCUAACCAAAAAAUAACCCUACGUACAACCGUAAGAUUCAAUUCCUCAAUUGCAUUAAAAAUUGGAAAAGCCCAACCCUAACCAACAAAUACGUUACGAGGGUUUGUUUAGAUUAGAUCAUACGUUUCUCUAACAUGGGACCAAUCACGCUGGUCACCACUAGUAUUAAUCGAUCAAACAAUAACGGAUUCAAUCAAUUAAUCUGGCAGUAGAUUAUUAGGUUAAUUUAAAUAUCGGACCCUUAACAUUCAAAUAACAAAACAAUCAUAAGAAAUUAAACCAGAAAAUGUAUGAAUACCAAUAAAUAAAAGAAAUAAGUAAAAUAAUUCGAUCUCACAGAUGUUUGGAACCGCGUCUUCAAGUUGGCCUUCGACUAGAAAGCGAAAUUAGUUAUUCUCCAUUGAGAGUAACUCACACAAUUCCAUUGAAGGAAAUUGCGCCAACGUUUCACAAUUAAAAAAAAAACUACCCAAUAGAAAAAGAAGGCCCUGCGGUUGCCGUCCCUUCCAACCCAAAGAGUCAUGAUCCUCUUCCAAGUAUUAAUCAUGUGGGAUGCCGUUUCUUUCCUUUUCGUUUCCUACUUUUAAGCUUCCCAAAUAAAAUAAAACUUCCUAAUUUCCCUAAGAAUAAAAUAUUCCCUCAUAUUCCCUUCCAACCCAAUGUCCUACAAUUAACAUAAAAUAGCAAAUAUAAGUAGAAUCCGAUAAUUAAAAUAAUAUUUGGCUAAAAUCAAGGGAAAAAUAAUUAUAAAUUUAGCAACAAAUUAUGACCUAUCAAUUUUUCCCACACCUAAACCAUGCUUAUUCUCAAGUAUGAAAAAAACAAAUCAAGCAAUCAAAUUCAAACAAUGGCUAUUGCUUAAAUCUUUUAUUACCGAGAUACAAUUAAAAUACAUAUCCAAUAUUAGUGGCUAAUCUCUAAGAAAUAUCUCUCCAAUUAGCUUUCAAGAUCAAGGACUCUUCCAAUUUAUGACUAACUAAUCUAAGAAUAUAAAAUAUUCAAUCAGCAUUUUUCAACAAACGGUUCAACUAUUAAGCAAAAUCUCAACAUUAACUUCAUAGAUCAUCAGGCUAACAUAAUUAUUCACACACUUGCACAUUUUUCACUAUUAGUUCAUCCCUUUUUUUUAAAAUAUCUCCAUACUUUAGCUCUUAUUUUCAUUUUUUUCAGGGGGAAUGCUUAGUCUUUAGCCAUUUAAAAGUUUUGACACGAACUCUGAUAUUUGCCAAUUGAAGGAGCCCGGUUACUCAGCCCUCAUCCCUUAAAAAUCACAUACUCAUAGUUAUCGUCGUUUUUUUACGUGAAAAUCGACACUUGUGGUGAAGACCUCCGGUUACUAGGCAACGAUACUAGCGGAGUAUAGCCAAAUAUUGUUAAUAAAUAAGCACCAAAUUAAAAUUAAAAAUCAUAAAAACCCCCUUCAUUUCUUAAAUAUGGAGAACUAAGAUUAAUAGUCGAACCAAUUUGCACAAAAAAAAUACUAAACAAAUAUUUUCAAUACUUAGAGAAGUUAACCCAAAAGUGCAAAAGUCACAAAAUCUCAAAUAUUCACCAAAAAGAUAUCCUUAAAUUUAAUCAUGUCAUACUUAACACUUUAGAGUAUAAAAUCAUAGUAAUAGAAAAAUUUGAGACGUCUAACCAUCAUUUAUCAGGAACAACUACAAGUAUGCAUAAAGAUAAGCAAAAAUUCGAUAAAAAAAUCGAACAAAAAAAAUUAACAAAAAUGCCUACAUUACACUUUUGCAAUAUACUAUCAAUGUACUACUCCCCCCACACCUAAAUCUUACAUUGUCUCCAAUAUAAAAUAAAGAAUAAAAAAAGUAAUGGGGAUAACGAAACUUCCCUGAUAAUUGAGGGGGUCGUGGAUAGCUACGGAUGAGGGGCAAAUGAUUAUGGAACUCGAUGCAUGUUGAUGGUUGGCAGCAGUGGAGUUCGGAUGGAGAAGGACGGAAGAAAGAAAGAAAGAAGAGAGAAAGAAAGAAGAGAGAAAAAGAAAGGAAAAGGAAGAGAAAGGAAAGAAAAAAAUUUUCAUUUUUUUUGACAUUCCCCUAGGACACGACGUGAUCAUGUCAUGAUGGUAGGAACCCUUCUGACGAUGACUCAUUGAAUUGAAAGUUACCACGUGCCCUGUUGACGCAUGCACAUCAUGAGGGUAGAAACCCUUCUGAUGGGAAACUCAAGAAUUGCUCAUUACCACGCACCCUGUUGACACGGGUACGUCAUGUUAAUCAGUCUGCUCCAGGAUCGAAGAUAGAGCUCUCCCGACAACUUGACUGGGGCACGUCAUGAAGAUGGAAACCCUUCUGAUGAAGAACUUGAGAAUUGCACAUUAUCACGUGCCCUGUUGACACGGGUACGUCACAUCGAGAAGACAUCCACUAAUCACCAAAAACAGAAAAUUAAACCAAAAAUUCGUGAAAAUUCUAAGAGAAACAUGUUGAAACUAUCGAAUAGAAUUUAACAAACAACUAAAACAAAUUGGGUUACCUCCCAAUAAACGCCUUUCUUUAAUGUAUUUGGCUAGACAGUCAUGUUUGUUCAAAAAAGAUAAAAUUUUGUGGCUCGUUUCAAUGAUUCAUCCUCUAUAUAGCCCUGAUAGCCCUCGUGAAUAGAAUAAUCCCUGAGCACACGAGCUACAGUCUUCCAUGGACUAGUAGAUUGCGUCAAAUAAGUUAAUAAUAAUCUGAAUUCUUCACUCACUCCUCCAUCACAUGCACUUACUGGUUCAAGAUAUUUUGCUAUCGCCACUCUUAACUUGUUCCUAUCAUGAAACGCAAAAUCUUCUAGUAUAAUAAAGUCAAUCUUGCUAACAGGAAUUAAAGAAUAAGAGUCAGGAAAAUGUUGAUUAAUGAAUGGAGGAGGUGUCACCGCAUUUGGAAAUUGUUCACUGGAUUCAUUCACUUGAACGAUUUGAUGUUGGGCUCUCAUUUCUUGCACUUCAACUUCCUUUUCAACUGCAUCUUUAGAUCUGUUUUAUUGAGACUCCUGCAAUUCCAUGUCACUUGUCAGGACAAUUACAUUCUCAUCUUCCUUAAGGUUGAUGAUGGUCUGUGAGGGCAAUUCUUCAUAAAUUGGAGAAAUCAAUUUGCUCAGUGUAGAUGCCAAUUCACACCCUCUAUUUUCCAUCCUUUUAAUCGACCUUUGUGUCUCUUGUUGAAAAUUAUAUAUCAUUUCUUUAAGAGACAUACCUGACAUGGAUAAUGAUUCUUGAAACUCUUGUUGUUGAUAAUCCAUUAUCUCCUGUUAAAGUUAAUGUGUGUUAAUAGCUAGUGAUUUUAUCAUUUUUUUAAGGGACAUACCUGACAUGGAUGAUGGCUGUUGCUGUUGAUAUUGAUGUUGAAAAUCGAUUGACCCUUUUGCACAAUUCAAGUUGAAAUUAUUACACAAUUCUUGAUCAUACCCAUUUGAAUAAGGGUCAAACCAUGUUUGAGAUUGGAGUGAAAAAUCUCCAAACUUAUUGAUUAAGGUAUUCAGGUAAUCUUGAAAUUCAAGACACAUACUAGUUGAAUGAUCCAGGGCGUAACAAAUUUCUCAGGUUGCAGCAAUCAUUUUUUUUAUAAGAAAGCUCAGUGAAUCUUAAUAUUGAUCAUUAGAAAAAGCAUAAGCCUCAUUAUCAUUCAUAAGAAUAAAAUCUAGUUUAUCACCAAAAUACAGAAUGUCAGCACCCAUAAACUAGUAAAAAAAAUUAGAGAAAAAUAAAAAUAAAAUGAAUUAAAAAAGAAACAAAUUAAUCAGGCACCAGUCCCCAGCAACGGCGCCAAAAAUUAACAGAUUGGCGAAUUUGUGCAAUAAUAAAUACCUGCUCAAAUAAAGUAUAAAUUUUGUAUACAGUGGUAAGUAGGGUCAAAUCCACAGGGAUUGUGGAAAUUCAUUUCUCCUCAAGUUCAAAAUAUGGGGGUAUUUUUAUAAAAAUAUAAAAAUAACUAAUUAACCAACUAAUAAAACAACUAACGAAAAUAAAUAUGAAUUAAUCAAUAACAAGUACGACUCUAGCCAAAGAUGCAACUUUUCAGAUACGGUCCAUUCAACUGAUCAUUGAUGCAAUGAAAAUUUAAUUAUUCAUUAAUAGAUUGGUUAUAGUUAUCAUACACGUGAUAAACAACCAACUCUUCCUUACUUUUUCGAUAGUCAAGGUAUGACCGUUAACUAUUUUCCUAACCAAGAAAUAACCCUAUGUACAACCGUAAGAUUCAAUUCCUCAAUUGUAUUAAAAAUUAGAAAUGUCCAACCCUAACCAACAAAUGCUACGGGGUUUGUUUAGAUUAGAUCAUACGUUUCCCUAACAUGGGACCAAUCACGCUGGUCGCCAUUAGUAUUAAUCGAUCAAACAAUUAUGGAUUCAAUCAAUUAAUCUGACAGUAGAUUAUUAGGUUAAUUUAAAUAUUGGGCCCUUGAUAUUCAACUAAUAAAACAAUCAUAAGAAGUUAAACCAGAAAACAUACGAAUACCAAUAAACAAAAUAAAUAAGUAAAAUAAUUCGAUAUCACAGAUGUUUGAAACCGCACCUUCAAGUUAGCCUUCGACUAGAAAGCGAAAUUAGUUAUUCUCCAUUGAGAGUAACUCACGCUUUCCAUUGAAGGAAAUUGCAUCAACGUUUCACAAUUAAAAAAAAAACUACCCAACAGAAAAAGAAAGCCCUGCGGUUGCCGUCCCUUCCAACCCAAAGAGUCAUGAUCCUCCUCCAAGUAUCAAUCAUGUAGGAUGCCGCUUUCUUUCCUUUUCGUUUCCUACUUUUAAGCUUCCCAAAUAAAAUAAAACUUCCUAAUUUUCCUAAGAAGAAAAUAUUCCCUAAUAAUCUAAUUUGUCUCCCAUUACAAUUUGGAAACAUACCCCUUAGCACUUUGACUUGAAUUGGAAAACUGCCAUGCACGAAUCUCGUGUAUCUAGAUUGGACAACAAUUCUUGAAAAUUCACAUCUUUUUAUUACUUUUUACUCCAACGCCCUACAAUUAGCAUAAAACACCAAAUAUAAGUAGAAUCCGACAAUUAAAAUAAUAUUUGGCUAAAAUCAAGGAAAAAAUAAUUAUAAAUUUAACAACAAAUUAUGACCUAUAAAAAAUGGACAACUUAUGCCAAUUAAUCUUAUAAAUUGACUCAAAACAAUAUGAAAUACAUUCAAAAAUAUCACAAAUUUAGCCAUUAUCAUCUUGAUCUCUUUCGCUUUAUAAAAAUUAUGCUAACUUUUCAAAUGAUUUUGUGUGUUGAAAGCACAUGGAGAAAGAAGGAGAAUAGUAGUAAAGGUAAAGUUAAGUGUUUAUUGGUUGGUUUUACUUUAAGUGUGAGACAUGAAAUGGAUUGUUUAUUAUUUUUAAUCUGUUGACUUGGAGGGAUCAAAGAGUAUCAUUAAAUAAAUAUCUUAUUGAAGAAUAGUAGGACAACAUUUUUUAACCAUGGAGACAAAGAUAUAAAUUACAUAAUUUGGUGGGAUCAUUGGGAGAAAUUGCCUCCAUUUUGUCUUCAACUUCGGUGUCACGUAGAGUGCUACCAACAUUGUGGGACUCCUCUGAGUUAAUUAAAAUGUGAAAGAAAGAAUGUUUUUGAUGAAUUUCUCCUAGAGGAACCUCAGUGUCUAUAUGACUGACUAUGAAUUAUUUUCUAGUAUUUAAAGAAAAGCAGAAUUCUUUACUUAUGAAUGAUCAAUAGAAAAAUAUGGACUAAUACAAUGUGUUUGUAAAAGAUUCCGCAGAAGAUUGGAACCAUUCAUGUGAACAUCCUUAAUUAAUAGAAACAGGAAGCCAUGCUAAAAGAAUAUAUUAAAUUCGCACGUUAAUUUUUUUAAGAAGGUCUUCCACUCUGUUCUUUUCGUUCCAACUUAUAUUGUUAUUCCACCCACAACUUUUGAAACCCAACAUUCCUUAGUGUCUUCAUAUUAAUUUUUGAUCACUGACCAACUAUGGCGAAUAAUUAAACCUUAAAGCUGACCAAUUAUUACAACAAAUUGCGGAGUUGGGCAGGAGCCACUAUGCUUUCGUCUAGUUCUGUGCGAUUGUCGUACUUGCCACACCAUUUAGUGUACAAUUACGUUAUGCUGGUCUCUUUGUGAAAAUAGAAGUGUACAUGAAUAAAAUAUUGAACCAUGCGUGGGGUGCCAAAAUACCAUUUGACUAUUCUUGGCCCAGAGGAAAAUCCUUAAAGUGAGGCCUAAUGCCCAACCUCAUAUCAAGCAGGUGAUAGGUAAUGGCUAUGGAACAUUUUUCUGGUAAGAUCAAUGGGUCAUUAUAAUAGAAUUUUGCUGAGCCUCUACUGUCAGGAUUUGGCUUAACUAGGAAUGAUCUUGUUGCUAAGUGUAUGCAAGAUGCUGAAUGGAGAUGGCUAUGUGGGAGGAAAUUAAUGUUGAGUUACAAAGAUUGAAGCAGCUUAAUCCCUAUGAGCUUGUCCCUAUACCAAAUGAGAAGGAUGCUACAAUUUAGCUUCCAAGCAGAUCUAACACAUACAGUGUACGGUCUGCUUUAAAAAUCCUACUUCACAAGAAGCCUCUAGGCAUAAAUUUGUAUGGGAUAAGGGGUCCAUUCCAAGAUUCUCAUUUAUCGUUUGGUUGUUAUGCAAGAACAAACUAUAUACCAAGGAUAGAAUGCAAAAGUGGAGAAGAUUAAGUGGUAACUUUGAAUGUGUGUUGUGCAAUGGUGUGGAGGAAUCGAUGAAUCACAUCUUUUUUUGAAUGUUUUAUUUCCGAUGCUGUCAAUGGAAUUGUCCUGGGUUUGUGGGCAUUGGAUGUCAACAUCCUUUAUUUAUAAAUUUCGAAAACUUGCUCUAGCUGUUUUUCGGUACUUCAUCUGGAAAGCCAAGAAUCUGGUGCAAUUCCAAAAUGAAAAUGUAUCUGCUAUAGCUAUAGUACAUCAGAUUAUCAAUACCAUCCAGUAUAUUGGAGCCUCAUGAAGAGAUGUUCCAAAGAUUCAGGAGAAUUGGUUGCUGAUUGUUAAGUGGGGUAUUUCCCACAAGUGCGUUGAUAGAGUUUGAUAGAUGAAUAGAAAUUUGAAUUGUAAAAAGUUGUAGGAAAUCUUUGAUGUACCGUUAGCAUGUAUAUGCUACUUUGUAUAUGUUUCAGUUAUCUAUCAAUAAAAUUUUGCAAUUUUACUUAAAAAAAUAUUGGAUGUAUGUUUGAUAUAACAAUGUAAUGUGGCUAUAUAUCAAUAUAAUAACAAAGACAAUAACCAGAUAUAAUACAACCGUACCUACCCGAAGUUCUAUCAUUACAACCAAAGUUCUUAGUCAUGUCUCGUCUCAUCAAUAACAGAAUUCAUCUAUUCAGUGCUCUAAGGCACUUGAAAGAUGGUGACACAGUUUAAGUUUAUUUGCAAAAAUUCAAAUUUUCAACAUGUUUCAUGUUUUUAAACGGAUGAGAAAAUUUAGUUUGUGAAACUAAGAGAAGCAAGGAAGAAGGUGAUAAAGAGUUCAGAUAAAGUAAAUCAACAAAAUAUAAGUAUGUAUAAGAAAUAUAUGUUAUCAUGUCAUAUCGUAAUUAAGGACAACUUUAAAAGCUAAUCACACUUUGCCUCUUUAAACAUAUAUGGUAAUUACAUUUUUUCAUGCUAAUUUCAAAUAUAUGCAUUAUUCCCCCACUUGACCAAUGUUAAAAACCAUAGAAUUAUCAAAAAAAAAAAUGUGAUGGAGAGUUAAAAACAUAGCACUAUAUAAUGCUAAAAAAGUAAGAAACUUUAAGUUGGCUAAUUUUAUAUUAUCCCACUUCUUGAUCUUUGUACAAAGCACUGCUAUAUACACGUGCUUAUGAAACAAAACUGUAUACUCAAACCAUCAAAAACUAGCCAAAGAGUUUUUUUUUAAUGGUAAAUUUUAUUAAUAUCAGGAAAUCAGAUUAUACACAGAUCCUCUUAAUAUCACUAUUACACUCCUCUCUACAGUAUACUUUUGGAACUCUACAAAUAUAUGCUAUAUCAAAAUUUUGGUAGGGAUCCCCACUCCACCAAGGUCAUUCAAUUUUCUUUAAUCCUGGGAAUUUUAUCCCAAGAAACGGCAACAUAAUGGCCUGUGUUAAUAAUGAUAUCAAGAAUUGUUAGAAUUUUAGUGCGAAACAGAUAAUUAUUAAGAUAUCAAAUAUACAACAAUUUCAUAAUAAACAAGUCACAAGUAUAAAAAAUAAACGACACACAAUAUUUAACAUGGUUCGACUCCACCAUUGAGUCUACAUCCACGGAGAGAAACUCGUUCUUUAUUAUAAGAAGAAAGCGCUAUAUAAGAAUAUAACUUGAAUCCAAACCCAACCCUUAUAUACCAUUUCUCAUCUUCCAAAAAGCCUCUCUCACCACCCAUGUAUAAGGCUACAUGUCAUCUCUUGUGUGUCCCUUUAUAUGUCUCUUUAUGGUAUGUCAACCCACCUUUUUAUAGGAAAUAUUAUUUGAUCAAAAUCCAAAUAACAACAAGAAACUAACGCUAAUUUCUAGAUUUGUACAAAAUAGAAAAUAACUUCUAAAUUCUAAACGAAAUAGGAAAUUCCUUAGCUACUAUUUCAAAUAAUUAAAAUCGAUUAGAAAACUAGUUACUUCCACACAAAACAAAAAAUCUAUCUAAAAUAAAUUAAAUUAAUUUUCUAACAAAUCUUCACCUCGGCGAAUAUUUUUUUUAGCAAUCAUUUAACUUCAGCUACCAAAUAAUAUGGUUCUAAACUACACACCCAAAUCAAUACAGUCCUGAUACCAAAUUGAUUCAAUCGACAAAUGACCAUGUGCAGUUAUUCCAAGUCUAAUCUCCUGUUGAUUCGCAAAAAAGUGCCUCAGUUCACUGUUUCUUUUUGCAGGAUUUCUUUUCACCACUACUUGCAACCUGGAAUCCCUUUCUGUGAGCUCUAACCUUAAUCAUUGAGGCAAUCAAGUGGUAAAAUUAUCAUACUUCUUCCCAUCCUGAGAACUGUCUCGCCACGUGUGGUUUCCAAAACUCCACCUAAAAUGAAAAACUAGAAAUUGUCAGAGUUUUCUGGUGCAUGAAAAUUAGUUCUCUUUGUUUCUCUGAGACAUGUGCCACACCAUCCAAAAAACAUAACCAAGAUCUAAAAUCCACCGAAAUGAAGUAUCAACUGUUAGAAGUGUAAAAAAAAUCUCCAACGAUUCACGUCCAAAAUCACUAUUGGAUUCCAUCUUUUUUUUGACUCUUGAAUCACUUACCUAGAUUCACCGUCAAGUGUCUCUAUGCUUUUCGUCUUCCCGUCCUUCACCAUCAAUUCUUUUUGCUAAGCCAUUGAAACAAUGAUACCACUCAUUAAAUUGUUCAAUUAGUAACAGCCACCAAUCCACUUGAUUUCAAUAGUUAACCAGGAUCCAAUCAUGAACAACCAAACUCUUGAUCCAACCAUUCAGUUUGUUAGAAUCCAAGUGCUUAUAAAUAGCCCAGUCUCACAACCAAUCUCAGAUACCACUUAUUAGGAUCCAAGCGUGGAACAAAGAACUAUUAACAUAUCAAGUAUACAACAGUUUAAUGACAAACAAGUAAGAAAUAACUUUAGAUAUGACCAUUGACCACGACUCUAAUCAAGAAAUAACUUUAGGUACAAUUUUAGAGUUUAAUUUUUCAAUUCCAUUAAGAAUUAGAGAAAUCCUAUUCUAAUCAAAUAAUAAACUACAAGGGUUAUUUUAAAUUAGCCCAUAUGUGCCCCUGACAUAAACUCAAACAUGCCAAUUACCACUAGUUUAAAAUAAUUAAAUAAAUUGCGAAUUUAACUACUGUAAUUGGUUCUAAGUUAUUAGAUUAAUUCAAAUAAUGAGCAUUGGAUAGUCAAAUAAAAUAAUAACUAUAAGAAAUUAAACUAGAGAGCAUACAAAUACUAGAAAAUAAAAAAAAUAAAUAUAAUCAAUUCGAUCUCACAAUUUUAAUUGAAUCAAAUCUUUCGUUGUUCCUUGACUAGAAUGAAAAGUUUAAUUCAUCUCCAUUGAACAAAUUGCACGCAAAAUAGUAGAAGUAAUUGCCAAGGCCAUUCUUCAAUUAUUAGAGGGAUGCCAAGAGGAAAAACAAAUAGAACCAUUGUUCUUGUUUCUUCCGAAAAGAAAAAGUCAAGAAUGAUGUCCCUAUUCCUCCCAGGAAAGAAAAGAUAGACUGAGAUAUUCCUCUUCUCGUGAGAAAGAAAGCAUUGAUUACAAUGUUUCUUCCUUUCGAAGUACCAAUCCUACUUGUGGGCCCUCACGUCGGUCCUUCUCUAAGCUUCAAUGAUGAGGUGAUUAAUCUUUUCGGUUCUUCAAUGUUGAGGUGACAACCUCGGCUCCUUAUCUUUGAACUGCAGAUCAUCUUCAUUUUCCCGAGAUGAGUGCUGCCUCGAUUUCGCCUUCGAGUCUGGUCACCCGAUGUCUGACACCUUCAGGCAAAGCUAAUCAAUGCCUAAUAGGUUGAUAUGACCACUGUCGCUACCCUGGCCAGGCCUACUUCUGACACCGCUGCCCUAGCUAUCUGAGAGGUUGUCGAGCCUGUACAAUAAUAAUUACCUACUCAAAAAAUAAUAAUUUUGUAUAUAGCGGUGAGUAGGGUCGAAUCCACAGGGAUUGGGGAUAAUUUAUUUCUUUUAGAGUCCAGAGAUAGGGGAUUUUUAUAAAAAUAACUAAUUAACUAAAUAAAAAUAACUCACAAAAAUAAACAAGAAUUAAUCAAUAAAAGAUACGAUUCUAGUCAAAGGUGCAACUUUUCAAACAUGGUCCAUUCAACUGAUCAUCGAUGCAAAGAUAAUUCAAUUAAUUAUUAAUAAAUUGGUUGUAGUUGUCAUACACGCGAUAAACAACCAAUCUUUCCUUACUUUUUCGAUAGUCAAGGUACGACCGUUGACUAUUUUACUAACUAAAAAAUAACCAUAAAUACGACCGUAGGAUUCAAUUUCUCAAUUGCAUUAAGAAUUAGAAAAGUCCAACCCUAACCAACAAAUACGUUAAGAGAGUUUAUUUAAAUUAGAUCAUACAUUUUCCUAACAUGGGACCAAUCAUGCCAGUUGCCACUGGUAGUAACCAAUCAAAUAAUUACGGAUUUUACCGGUUAAUUUGACAAUAGAUUAUUACGUUAAUUCAAAUAUCAGGUCCUUGACAUUCAACUAACAAAACAAUCAUAAGAAGUUAAACCAGAAAACGUACGAAUACCAAUGAAUAAAAGAAAUAAAUGAAAUGAAUUCGAUCUCACAGAUGUUUGGCACCGCAUCUUCAAGUUGAUCUUCAACUAGAAAAGAAAUUUAGUUACGCAUAACCAAUUAAAGCAAUUCACACAUUUUUUCCAGAGCCAGCGACAUAAGUAUUUGAUAAAAGAAAAACUAAAGAAAAUAAAAGACUGGCUGAGGAUAGUCAUUCCGGCUCGGUUGAAUCCGAAGCGGUAUUCCAUUCUAUGGUACUAGGUUUACUCGAAAUAUUCACUUCGGCUAGCUGGUUUCCCUCAAGUGCUGAAGUGAACUUUACAUCUGAUGUCAACUUGGAUCGGAGUGAUGAGAUGUACUACAAUCGAAGUCGUGCCUCAAGAUUUAACAACUGAGAAAUAGUGGAUGUGACCCUUGAUACAUAACCACUGCUCUGACACACUGCCUACUGACCAGAGUAGUCAAGUCAAGGGGAUGUCCUGUCCUAAUCAAAUGUCUAGGGACCUGAACCACAGGAUCCUUCCCUCCAAAAUGUCCCCUAUAAAUAUGGGAAUUUUUCACUGAAAAAGGGGACAAAUCUCUGGUAACAAAAGCUUACUCUCUCCCCCAUAAUUCUCAUACACAUGACCCCGAACUAACUUAAUUUUCGAAGCAAGACCGGGGGGAUCUAGCCCCACCUCUAACAAUCUGAGUAGGUGAACAUGGUGCAUUUACCUCUUCAAGCAAGGGAAUACUCCAGCUAUCUGAGGCAACGCAUCAGUUCAGAAAUAACCUCCUCAAUUGGCGCCGUCUGUAAGAACCCAAAGACAUCAAAGAAUGAAGCCCAUGCGUUCUAAGAGCAGGAAUGUUCUCACCAUUGGAGUUGAGCCGAGUAUAGCAGCUCAGCAAGAAAAUCUUACUGAAGAACAAGGGUCCCCGGGGACUUAGCCUGCAAACGGAGAGGCCAUGACCCGAAUAGCUGAGUUUGUAAUUGAGAACCCUAACAUUUUCGAAGAAUUAAGGAGGUACUUCAAGAGGCAAGGCAAGCAAAAGGCCGAAUCUUCUAAGAGGAAGUUAGAUGAAUCUCCCAAACUCCUGUCCAAUGAAGAAUCUGAAUGGAGGCAUUAUAUCAGAAGCACCUCGAAGCGAGUCUCAUCUAAAACUACCUCUAGAAUUGUCUCUAUCUCCAAGGCAUUCUCACAAGGUCUAUUGGGAAAGCAAGUUGAGGAAGAACCUCGGCACCCUAGGAGGCCGGAAGUGGAUUAUAUGAGGGUUCCACCUUUUACGGAUGAUGUCAAUGAAGAGAGACUUCCUCGUAACUUCAAACUACCUACCAUACCAUCUUAUGAUGGUUGAGGCGAUCCUGAGGAUCACAUCCAUGCCUUUAUCUCGGCUUUCUGAUAAUACUGUAUACCCGACCCAAUUAUUUAUCGGGUUUUUCCAGUAUUCUUGUAGCAAACCGCUCAAAAAUGGUUCUGGGGUUUAGAAUCUAGGAGCAUAUCUAUCCUGGGAGAGCUAGUGGACAAAUUUCUCCAUCGAUUUAUAUCAUCCAACCCAACGACAAAGACCUUGGCUUACCUACUAAAUAUACAGCAGAAUCCAGAGGAGUCCCUCAAUACUUAUGUGCAGAGGUUUUACGAUAAAAGCGUGCAGAUACCUGAUCCCAACGAGCAGGUAACUACAGCCGCUUUCACCAACGGGCUCACCACCGGAGUGUUCAAUACCGGGGUAUAUAAGAAGUACCCUCAUACACUUCGAGAACUCUGAAAAAAAGUCAAAAAAUGCAUACAAGCUGAAGAGCUAAACCGCAUAAAGAAGGAAGCCCAGGUGGCUCGUUCAGGAAAUGAUUCUCGAAAAAAGAAAGAAUCAGGCCAAGGUGAGACUGGCACUAGCGAUGAAUUCCAAACCCCAACCCAAGAUAGCCGAAAUGUGUUUGACAGAAUAGUUAAGGGAAAGUCAUCCAUCUCGGAUUCUGAACUCACUCCCUUGAAUGCCAGUCGAUCUCGUGUACUCUCCGUGAUGGUGCAGAACAAUCUCAGGCGUGCCCCCUCCAAAGAUGUACUGGAAAAGGCAGAAAAGAAAUUCUAACCUCUACUGCCUGUACCACCGAGAUAUGGAGCACGAGAAAGAGAACUGCAAUGAUCUCAAAAAGGAGAUAGAGCACCUCAUUAAGCAGGGUCACUUGAAGUAGUUCAUCUGCCGAGACGGGAGUUGCAACCGAAUUGACUCCUGUCGCGAAAUUCGGGGUGACCAAGGGCGAGACGAUCAGCGGAGACAGAGAAGUAGUUGACGAUCCCUUUAGGAUCCUAGGGAGACAAGAAAACCUCUCCGAGACGGGUCUCAGGGUCAUGGGUUAGGAUACGGGUCAAACAUUGUCGGGGUCAUCAACACAUCGCUGGAGGUCCGACAGGAGGAGACAGUCAAAAUUUCUGGAAGAGGAUCUAUCGGCAGGAUAAUCCAGAUCAGGUUGAUCCAAGCUCUCGCUUGUCCGAAAUAAUCACCUACGAUCCUAGCGACCCUAUUCCUGUUGCUUCCAGUAGCCAUGAGCCUCUAGUGAUUGAGGUGCUCACCAACAAUUAUAUUGUCAAGAAAGUGUAUGUCGACCCAGGGAGUUCAGUUGACGACAUGUAUUACCGAACUUUUGAGAGUUUGAAGUUGAUCAAGAAGCAACUAAACCCCCUAUAAGAACCCCUCUUGUAGGAUUUAGGGGACAUUUGAUGCACCCUGAAGAGAUGGUCACGUUGAUGGUGACUGUGGGACGUCACUCCUGCUGCCGCACUAUCCCUGUCAACUUUGUAAUAGUUAAAGCUGACUCUCCUUAAAUUUGCUCAUGGGCCGAUCUACAUUCAAUGCUCUACAUGCGGUAUAUUCCACAUACCAUUUGAGUUUCAAAUUCUCAAUCCAGGCGGGCAUUGUCAAAGUGAGCAGUGAUGUUUGUGCAGUGCGGGAAUAUUACCUCGCCACCUUGCAAGCCGCAUCUACUUCGACCUCUGAACCAAGGGUUGAGAGGAGGUCAAAUAUUCUUUCAACUGAUUGUAUUGAUCCUCAGCAGAUCAGGAAGUCGAAGAGGCUGGAGACCGGAGAUGAGGUGAAAGAUAUUUCUUUAGAUCCAGUAAAACCCGAUCAAACAAUUCGUGUCGGAAUGCACUUGCCCGAGCCUUUCAAAGGUCAGCUAGUUGACUUCCUAAAGGAAUAAAGAUGAUCAAGGAGGUGCAAUACCCAACUUGGUUAUCCAAUUUCGUAAUGGUCAAAAAGGACACAGGAACACGAAGGAUAUGUGUGAAUUUCACCGAUCUAAACAAGAUUUGUCCCAAAGAUUGUUACUCACUGCCUAGAAUUGACGCCGUAGUUGACUCGGCAAUGGGAUACGAAAUCCUCUGUUUUCUUAAUACCUUUAAAGGAUAUCAUCAAAUCGGGAUGAGCGAAGAGGACCAGGAGAAGACAGCCUUCUUUACGGAUCAAGGUGUGUACUGCUAUACCACCAUAACGUUUGGAUUAAAAAAUGCCAGAGCCACUUAUCAGCUGUUGGUCAACCGAGUAUUCAAAUCCCAAAUAGGUCAAAAUGUCGAAGCAUACGUGGAUGCAUCCUACUAAAGAGCAAGAAGGCCUCAGCCUUUCUAUCCGACGUGAAAAAGGUUCUCGGAAUCCUCCGUGAUACCUGGAUAAUGCUGAACCCCAAAAAAUGUGUAUUUGGGGUCAUUUCGAAAAAAUUCUUGGGGUAUUUCGUGUCUCGCCGCAAGAUAGAAGCAAACCCCGAUAAGGUAAAGGCAAUCCAACAAAAAUCUUCACCUCGAUGUACCCACGAUGUACAGAGGUUAACAGGACGAUUGGAGGCUCUGAAUAGAUUCCUGUCACAGUCCACCUCCAAAGCAUUACUCUUCUUCAAAGUGCUAAAAAAAGCUAAUAAAUUCUCUUAGAUAGAGGAAUGCCAAUAGACUUUUAAACAAAUGAAGGAGUAUUUGCACCACCUCCCAACACUCACCUCACCCUGGCCUGAGGACGAGUUAUAUCGUUACCUAUCCACCGCAGAGAAAGCGGUGAGUGCUGUGCUGAUGCGGGAGGAAGGUGUCCAGAUGUCAGUUUAUUAUGUUAGUCGGGUCUUUCGAGAGCCCGAGACAAGAUACACCCAAGCCAAGAAGCUCGUGUUUGCCCUAAUCCAUGCAGCUCAUAGGUUGAAGCCCUAUUUUCUGGCUCAUCACGUUUACUUAAGGACAGAUCAGCCCCUCAGGCAGAUCCUAUUGCAUCUCGAAACUUCUGGGCGUCUCACUAAAUGGGUCAUUGAACUAUGAAAAUGCUAUCUGCCCUACGAGCCUCGUACAACCAUCAAAACUCAGGCUCUUGCCGACUUUUUGACCGAGCUCACAUUUAACGAGGCCGAGGUUAUGAAGCCCACCUUGAACUCCGCCGAGUCCCGGCGAUGGAUUCUAUACGUCAACGACUCGUCUAAUAGUGAGGGUAGUGGAUCAGGCUUGCUUCUCAAAGACCCACAAGAGGAGUUGUGUUCAUACGCUAUUUGGUUUGAUUUCAUUACAUCCAAUAACGAGGCCGAGUACAAGGCCGUUAUCGCCGGCCUGCAGUUAGCUCACAAGCUCGGUGCCCGGCAUAUUCUGGUUAAUAGUGACUCCCAAUUCGUCGUAUGCCAAAUACUUGGUGAAUACGAAAUCAGGGAGGAGGUCAUGCAACGUUACCUUUCCAAAGUCCAAUUAAUUUCACACUUCGAGUCCUUUGAAAUCCAAAGGAUACCUCGAUCACAAAACAAGUGGGUCGAUGCACUAUUCUGACUCGCUUCUACCUCUUUUUUCAUUUUCAACAAGACGGUCCUCGUCGAAGUUCUGGCUCACCCAGGCUAUUCAGAAGAAAUCGUAUGUCCCGUUUAUCCUGAGGACACUUGGAUAAGCCCGCUGGUUCGGUUCCUCGGUCGAGGAGAGAUUCUGGAGGACCGGUCCGAAACAAGAAAGUUUCAACAUAAAGCAGCUUAGUACGCUCUUCGAGACAAUCUCUUAUACAAGAGAUCUUAUCUCGACCCAUGGUUGUAGUGCAUUACGGCGGAAGAUGGGAAAAGAAUCCUUCAAAACAUAUAUGAGGGGUUCUGUGGUGCUUAUGUUGGCUAUCGGAUGCUGGUCAAAAAGACCAUAUUACUUGGAUACUUCUAGCCUACCAUUCGACGGGAUGCCAAACUUUUAGUUCUUGCCCGUCCUUCCUGUCAGCAUCACGCCCCUAAAUAGGGAUGGCAAUGGGGGCGGGUGCCCAUGGGGGUAGAAAUAGGGCGGGGGAUGGGGCGGGGCGGGGGUCGGGAUGGGGCCGAAAUAUUUACCCCAGCCUUAAAACGGGGCGGGGGAUGGGGCAAUGUACACCCGCCCCAUCCCCCGCCCCGUCCCCCGCAUAAAAAUAUAUAUAUAAGAUAUUUGUCUAAAAGGCUUAAUGAAAAUAUAAAUACGAGAGGCUAAUGGAACAAGAAUUCUUUCCAUGGCUUAUGAUAUCGUUUAUAAGCAGUUCCAACAACCAUGGGUUUGUUUUUCCUUCAUUUUGCUGAUUUUCUCUUUUAUGUUUUUCAUUGAUCUUUGCCUUUUGUUAUUUUUAGAUUUUAACUGUUUUUUGUAUUUUUGGUUAGUGUUUGGGAAUUUUUUCUCUCUCCUGUUAGUUCUCAAAAAUGCUUGAACAUAUGAGGAGAGUUUUGCAUUUCGUAAGUUGAUUUCUUUCCUCACAGGGGAUCGCGGGGAAAAUGGGGCGGGGGAUGGGGGGCAAGGGACGAGGGAUGGGACGGGGGACGGGGGGAGUUAUUUGACAACGGGACGGGGGACGGGGGAAGGAUCCCCCGCCCCACCCCCGUCCCAUUGCCAUCCCAACCCCUAAACACCAUCAGCCGACCAAUCUGAUGGUUCCCAUUAUAUUGCCAUGGUCGUUCGAAUAAUAGGGAACGGAUAUAAUUGGCCCUUUCCUUAGAGCCACUGGGGGGUAUGCUUAUUUAGUAGUGGCAGUGGAUUACUUCACAAAAUGGGUUGAAACCGAAACCCUAAGGAGCAUAACCAGCUUAACGGUCCAGAAGUUCUUCUGAAAAAGUGUAAUUUGCCGCCUUGGAUUGUCCCAAACCAUUAUCUUGGACAAUGGAAAGCAAUUUGCAGAUAACCCCUUCAGGAAAUGGUGCCAGAAUCUCGGGAUCAAACACCAUUUCACCUCAGUGGGACAUCCCCAAGCUAAUGGGCAAGAUAAGAAUUUCAAUCGCACGCUUCUCCACGGCCUAAAAAUCAAGCUGCACCAAACCAGAUCAUCCUGGUAGAUGACCUUCCCAAUGUCUUGUGGUCUUAUCGGACCACUCCGAGGUCAGUUAUACAAGAAAUCCCGUUUUCUUUGACCUAUGGGUCCAAAGUGGUGGUUUUCGCUGAAUUCAUCAUCCCGAGCCUGCAAAUAGCAGCCUUUGCCGUCGAGAUUAAUGAAGAAGAACAACGACUGGACCUCGACCUUGUCUAGGAGAAACAGGACAUCGCGGUAGUUAAAGUGGCACUGUACAAAAAUAUCCUGGCUAGCUACUAUAAUGCGCGAGUUCGACAUCUUCGGUUCAAUUCGGGAGACCUGGUUCUUCGGAAGAAUUUGGUUAGUCGAACUGAACCCCAAGAAAAAUUAGCCCCUAAAUGAGAAGGAUCUUAUCGUGUCAUUGAGUCUAGUCAGAGGGGUUAUUGUAAAUUAACUUAUCGAGAUAGCACUUUGGUGCCACGGACUUGGCAUGUUGAAAAUCUUCGAUUGUAUUAUCCGUGAAGAAUAUAUCAUCACAUGAUUAUCAAUUCUAAUCGUAUUAUUCUUUUCUUCCUACUUAUAAGUCGAUUGAUCGGAAAAAAUAAGGGAACAAGUAAGAGAGACAAAACAGAAGAACAAGAGACAGAAGAGAUGAUAGAAAGAAGAAUAAUUUGAUUGAUGAAAAUCUUGAAAAACUAUAAAGUACAAAAAAUCGAGGUCAGAGGCGCUUCUAUGUAUCUCCUGUCUCGGUUCCCCCCGUAUGAUCACCCCCAACUAGUUCGGUGGUCCCCUCCGUCUCGGUACCCUCCACCUUGAUUCCUUCCGCCUCGGCUCCUCCUUCAGGUGUGAGCUCAAACUCCGAAAACCAUCAGUUGAAUUUUUCUCGAAACUCGGCCAAGUCCCUACCGGCCUGGAUGCCCUCGACUAUACAGUCGCACAGCUCUUUAGCAUCCACGUUAUAACUGGCCUUUUCCUUGAAGGAAUCCAGCUCUUCAGGUGGAAGGAGAGGUGCCACUUCGUUGAUGGCUGAAGUAUAUCCGAACAUAUAACUCGGCAGGGUUAGCUCUCCGAGGUCGCCAAUGAAGGCCUCUGACUUGCGAAAUGCUUCCAGUGCCGAGGUACCAGCCCUCUCGAUGGCCUCCCGAGAUGAUUGCUCUUCCUAUGCUCGUCGAUUUUUCUCCUCGUUCAAAACCGUUCUUAAAGAGUUGGCAGUAGUUUCUGAUUGUUCUAGAUCGGCUCUGGCUUUGUCGCGAUCUUUCUCGGCCACUUUCAAUUUUUUCUCCAGCAAGGAGAUUCUAUUCUGGAUCUCAACCGAGGGCCGCUGGUUCUUGGAGAGUUGGGUGUAGUAUUGAGACAUCUCCGAGAGGAAGGCCGUGGUGGAGGCCCACGCCACGGAUGCACUUUGCAACAACUCCUGCGAUAUCAACUUUCUUACAUAGGCGUGAUCCCUCAGAAGAAUUGAGUGCACCAACAGCUUGCGGGCCACGAGGGAAUUCUUGCACCGGUCGUUAACAUUGAUAUCCCACUCCGGGCACCAAUGUGAGCCGUAGUACCUCUUAUUCUCUCCAACUUCCUAAGGCAUUACGUAGUGGAGAUUCCACAAGGAGGAGCCACUGACAGGGACCUCGGGCAUCGAAAUGCUCUUAUCUCGGCUCGGAUGUAAGGAGGCUACCGUUACACCGCGGGUCACCAACCCCUCGGGAAUGCCCGAACCCUGGGGGGUUCCUUCGCAGAUAAUGAUCGAGGUGGAUCGAGUAGUAACGGCCGCAAUGCUCUUUUUAUUCUUCUGAUGAGCAGUAGACGUCUCGGCGGCCUCCUUUCUCUUAGGUGAUUUCUUGGCCACCGCGGCGGAUCCCGAGGUAAUCAGAUCAAAAAUCUUCGUCGCUGCAUAAGAAGAAGUAUUACUACUCAGAAUCAAGUGAAAAUAAAAAGCACAAGUAUGAAUUGAAAAGUACAAUGUUUCUGGAGUUUAGUAGAAAAGUAUGGAGGUUGGCCCGGGCUGAUAAGAGCUAAACCGAUCCCGCCUUUGACUAAGAUGGCUCGAGAUAGGCCCAACUAUUGAUCCGAAGGCCUGAUCCGAGGAGCUUUUGAAAAUUCUCUUCUUCCACAUCUCCCGGGGAAGAAUCCUUGGCCGUGGUGGGUGGCCUCUUCCAGAAAUUCCUAGGGAAGUUUUCGACAGGAACGAAGACAAAUUGUGCUUCCACUCCUUUAUCGAGGAGGGAGCAUCUACAACUAACUUCGGCACACUGAAAUUUAUGUUGCCAAAGUAAAACCAGCCCUUCUCGCUUCCGUUAUUCUUGAUAGUGUAACAGUGGCGGAAGAGGUUGGCCGUUGGAGUCAGCUUCAGUGCUCGGCAUAGCAGCUCGAACCCAAUGAGGAUUCGAAUUGCGUUGGGAACCAACUGGGUUAUCCUUACCCCCCAACACCUCAACACGUCUCGAAAAAAUCUGGUGGUCAGCAUCCUCAAUCUGGCUUCCAGUUGAUCGAGGUAGAUUGCCACCCUUCCCUUCGGGGGCCGUUCAGCUGACUGGUCAGGCCAAGAUGGAUAGAUAUUGUAGUUUUGCCGAAAUGGAUAUUUAUGGAUAACUUCGGUCGCCUGAACCCUGCCGAUCACACUAUUGAAAUACGGGAGUUGCCCGAAGUCCACAAUUGAGAGGUCUGGCGGAGUAGCCGAUUCAGGUACUCCCUCGUCCACUAGCACCUCGGACCCGAGAUCAUCAUUAUACAGAACCUCGGGGUCAAAGUGUCCUUAUUCCUGUGACGCUUCUGAUGCUGCUGACCCGCCAGAUUGGAAAAAGUACCCAUAAUCGAGUGAUGAUGUCAACUUGGAUCGGAGUGAUGAUGUGUACCACAACCGAAGUCAUGCCUCAAGAUUUGACAACUGAGAAGUAGUGGAUGUGGCCCCUGACACACUAACGACUGCUUUGACACACUGCCUACUGACUAGAGUAGUCAAGUCAAGGGGAUGUUCUAUCCUAAUCAAAUGUCUAGGGACCUGGACCACAGGAUCCUUCCCUCCAAAAUGUCCCCUAUAAAUAUGCGAAUUUUCCACUGAAAAAGGGGACGAAUCUCUGGUAACAAAAGCUUACUCUCUCCCCCAUAAUUCUCAUACAUCUGACCCCGAACUAACUUAAUCUUCGGAGCAAGACCGGGGGGAUCUAGCCCCAUCUCUAACAAUCUAAGUAGGUGAACCUGGUGCACUUACCUCUUCAAGUAAGGGAAUACUCCAGCUAUCCGAGGCAACGUAUUAGUUCAGAAAAUAACCUCCUCACUGGCCAAAAGGCCAAGCGGCUCUGCCGUCCUUCACUGGGAGUCACGGUUCUUUGGCCAAUGUCUUAAUGACGUGAGAUUGCGGCCCACUUCCCUUAUUCUUUUUGUUUCCUAAUACUACUAAACUACUUCUACUAAUCGAAAUCAAAUUCCCACUAGAUAAGAGAUGCUUUCCAUAAAGUUAAGAUAAAUAAACUAGACUAGUGUCCCAAUAGAGAUAGGAGACCAAUCAUCGGGUGAAGAGAUGGACUUCCACGGAUUUAAUGUAAGAUUGGAAAUCACGUGCUGAAUCCCGAGUUCUCGAACUUGCAGAAUUAGAUCUUGAAGCGCCCACAUUAAUUAGCAUAAAAAUCCAAUGAAAAUCACGUCUUUAAUCCCUUUUUAUUCCAAAUCCCUACAAUCAACACAAUUACCAAAUAUAAGUAGAAUCCACUAAUUAACGCAAUAUUUGGUAAAAUAAAAGGGAAAGCAAUUAUGAAUUUUAUGACAAAAUGCAACCUAUCACUGUCGCGUUGCAGAUGACAGAGAGUAGAGUCCAUUAUUCCUCUCGUACUAUAAAUACCCUCCUACCUUUUGUGAAAAAGAUACGAAAAACUUCAACCCUACUGGUUUUACUUAUAACUCUCGACUUGAAACUGACUUUAGCAUCGGAGUGGGACUGAGAGACAAGACCUUGCAUAUUUCUAGAUCUUGGCAGGUGAGUUCAUGCUAUCGACUCGGUUCGUCUGCCCGAAAAUCGCCUCGUCACUACUUGAACUAAACGACUCUCUCUUUUUUUUCAAACCAAAAUCCUAAUCCUAAUAAACUGACAAAUCAUUUUCAAAAAGUCCCAAAAGAUAGCUUAGACUAGUAUCCUAACAAAAGUAAGAUUAUCCAUUCAGUGAAGAGUCUGACUCUUUCGACUUCAAUUUGAAACUAGACAUCACGUGCCAAGUUUCGAGCUUUCCGGACGUGCAGGCUUAGAUUUUGAUACGCCCACGCUGAACAUCACAAAAGUCCAGUAAAAAAUCAUAUCCUUAAUUUCUUUUUAUUCUGAAUCCCUACAACCAACACUGAUUAUGAAAUAUGAGUAGAAUCUACCAAUUAACACAAUAUUUGGUAAAAUUUAAUGAAAAAACAAUCAUAAAUUUAAUAACAAAAAAUGUAACUUAUCAAAUAUAUGAUACUAUCAAGUUUAAUGGAGUUCGUAAGGAUGCUAUUAGAUUUAGAUUUUUUCCUUUCUUAUUGUGAGAUAAAGUCAAGGUAUGUUUGCAAUCUCAUGCUCUUAACACUUUUACUACCUGGGAUGAUUUUUCUUAUACUUUCUUGAACAAAUAAUUUCCUCUUGUUAAAACUAUUAAGUUUAGAAUGGACAUAACUGGUUUUAGUCAACAUCAAGGAGGGUCAUUCUUUGAAACUUGGGAAAGAUUUAGGGGGUUGCUAAGAAGAUGUCACAUCCUGGACUCCCUGGCUAGCUUAUUGUACAAAGAUUCUAUAAUGAUUUGAUGUAGCAAGAGGCAAGGUUUUAAUGGAAAAGUCAUCCCAUGGAAGCUCAAAUUUUGAUUGAAGAGAUGGCAGCCAACAACUAGUAAUAAUCUGAUGAGAGAGGUAAUUUUAGAAGAUAAAUAAGUAUGUUAGAACUUGACACUCUUAACAUGUUAAAGGCACAAAUGGAUAAUGCGGUCACGUUGCUAUGCUAGAAUUUUCCUAGCACUUCAUCCAAAGUUAGUAUUGUUUGUUGUACUACAUGUGAAGGUAAUCACAAGACUCAUAAUGUGUUAAAUAUGAAUAUGUACAAUUUCUUAAUCACAAUCGAUCCUCUCAGAACAAUCAUUAUUCAAAUACUUACAAUCCUAGAUAGGGGAAUCAUCCAAAUUUUAGAUGAAAGAAUCAAAGUGAUCAACAAAGUCCUAAAAAUCCACCUAGCUUCCCACCAAAACAACUUCUUGUGGAUACAAAGCCAACAUGGGAAAGUGGAUGCUAUGGAAAAACAAGCAAAGGAGAAUUUGGAGAGAUUUGAUAGAUUUCUUUAUUUGAAAAGGCUACCUCUUGGCCUUGUUAACACUUCAGCCAGAACCAUUCCCAAGGCAUACUCAUUGCAUCUAUCCUUGAGUUGUCUGCCAAUUAAGUACUAGGAGUCUAAGAAACCAAGCACGCUCACUGUCCCCUACUCGUGUAGUUUCGUGACUCUUAUCUAGAAGGACUGAUCUCGAAAGCCCAAAAUCUAAAAUGACAGUCAAAAAAUUCUCAUCCAACAAUGUGUUGCUUGACUUUAUGUCUCGGUGAAAGAUAGGAAGAAAGAACAUCAAAACUAAAGUUGAAACUAAAGUUAUAUAUAUAUAUAUAUAUAUAAAUCAAACACCCAACGCCAAAACAUCCAAGUGAAUGCCCGAUGCUAUAGGGCAAAUGGCAAACAACAUUUGCAUCCCAUUCAAAAUUGCCCCGAGACAUUUGGGGCUUGCCCCAAAAACGCAUUGUAAAAGCUGUCCAUAAAGAAGGCAUUUGAACUUCAAUUUCUAGAAAGCUGUCCAAUAAUUUGUAAAAAAUCUUCUGCCCUACUUCCUCUGUUACUCUUUGUCGUACUUUUAAUUAUAUUAUUAUUUGUCCUUUAUAAACAUCUCAUUUUAAUUCUUUUUCCUUCCUUAAUUAAGGUAGAGGAUGCAGUUAUGGAGUUAGCCGGAGACGCAGACAGAGAUUUUUUUUGAGGGAAAACUAACUAAUAACAUUAAGUGCCUAAUAGAACCCCUCAAAAAGUAAUGAAAUUAUUUGUUCUUGACUGGGAAGGACAAAUAUAGCAGUAUUUUAGUUGAACUUGCUCUGGCAGCAUCAUCACCAGCUGAAACAGGAAACAUACAACUAACAGUUUUAGAGAGCAGAUUUUGACCUGUCUCCCUCACUCCACUCCCAUAUAACUUUACAAUGAUGAGCCAUUUCUACGCUCUUGGGAUUUUCUUCUUUUCUUCUAAAGACAGCAAUCUGGGAGGCAAAUCCUGGCUCUACAUCACCAGCACCACCAACUCCACUGAAUUCAACACUAUAAUUAUGCCUUCUUGAUAGAUCAGUUGCCCAAUCACAAAACUGAGCUCUUGUCCACUCAAAUUUGUGAUCAUGGUUUCGAAAUUUAUAAGCUUGUGAUUGAUUCUUCUCAUCAGGAUCCUCUUCUUGGUUUUGUGGAGCAGAUUUCUGGAGAAUCACAUUGUACUCAUAAUUUGGCGUGGAGAUGAUAAGAAUCCUUGGACAGAAAGAGCUAAGCACAACAUCACCAAAUAAGCUUGCUUCUUGUUCCUCCAUGUGUUCAAUCACCUGCAAUUCGUGACAACAUCUUUCAAUCAUUAAAUCACUUUUCUUACAUUUACAGAAACAUAAUACAUGGAAUGCUCAAUUCUCAGAAUCCUUAAAUUGUUUUUAAUCUCCUGUUUGCUUCAGCAUCAUGACUGAGCUUCUCAGAAACUAAUUAACAACUGAUCAGUCACGCAGGUCAUAAACAUGCCAGGACAAGUAACAUCGUAAUCUACUGAGUUGUAGUAUCUAGAAAAUAAGGCAGCUAAGGGUAUUCAACAAUUUGGCAUUUUCUCUGUCAUUUCAGACUGUUACACAUAAGUUAGUUUGUUGUAUGAAUUUGCAAAUUUAUAGCAGUAACUCUUGUAACCUUUUACAGGUUCUUUAAAAACAAAAAAAUGUGGGGCAGCCAUGGGCAGAAAUCAUUUGAGUUCCUAUACACCCUCAAAGACCAAGUCCAGAAACUAACUGCAUUACUCAGACAAAAUUCAGCCGUUCUAGAAUUCAUAAAUAAGGCUUUGGUUUGGGAAACAAGAUGCAGUAUAACCAAAUGAAAUUAAUUCGAUCCUUUUGGGCAUCUCAAACUCUUCAAUUGGAAAGGCACAUUUCUUAACAUUCAGGCUGUUCCCAUCACCUUCUAUGUUUUUUAUUGUUCUAAUUUCCUCAAACACUAAGUUAACAGCAUUGCAGGGUUCAUAGCUCUAGUAUACAGACCAUCUCCCUGAUAAAUGCAACAACAUUUUCAAAAAUUGGGUUCCCCUGAUUGGUUCCUGAACAGUCAUGAAGAAACAGUAAGACUAACUCAAUCUGCUACCACAAAAUUAGGCAACUAACUGACAGCUACAGUGUUCCAGCAUACAUGAAAUGCUGUACACUUGAUAAUGAUUCUUCAACUAUCAGGCAUUUUCUUUGACUCGAUAAUCCAAAAUAAACUGAAGCCAACACAUUACAGUAGAUUAUAGAGUAUUACUUCUUCACUCUCAAGUUUCUUUUCUUUUUUCCAAUCAGGACAAUCUGAGUUUCUCUACAUGGUAUCCUUGAUAAAAUCAAAGUCAUUGCAUUUUCUUUGAUUUGGAAGACUGAAAUAAACUACAAUCCACACAUAAUAGUGUGUUACUUUUUCCCCACCCUUGUUACUUUCCUUGUCAUUCUAGUUAUGACUACCCAAGGUUAAAUCUCUAGAGGCAUGGUAACCUGAAAACUAUGAAGUCAUUAGCAUGCAGAGUUGCUGAUGUACGAAUGAUAUUUAGUAAAAAUACAGAAACUACCCAACUACUAAAAGCUAUUAGUUCAUAAUCUCUAAGAAAAUUAAUAAGCUAUUCAGAAAGGAACCAACUUCUCCAUUCAUUAUCUGUAGGAAUUAAUAAGCUUUUUUACAAAGGAAUCAACUUCCUUCUACAUCCCACUGGUAGUAUUCUUGUUCCAGGAGUCAACAUGUUCUCUAUAAAAUCCCAUCAAAGUAUUUAUUAAAACGGUGGAACUCAACUACAGUAUAUCCUGUGGAACCACUUAUGUACUAUGCAUCGAUUUGACUAUGGCAGAUAUUAAGUUUAGUAAAUAUUUAGUUUGUUCUUAAUAUAUUUAUCGGGCUAGAAAAUGCAUCAGUUCAAGGAGCAUAUCAAUUUUAUGUUAAAAAGUUUAACUUUCCCUCCAACAAAGGAUAUUUUACCAAUUAACAAAGCACAAGCGCAAUACUCUCUAGUCAUGACAAUUUUUCAUCGACCACCGCUAUUAUUAAAUAUAGUAUCAAUUACAGCUAUCCAAUCUCUCUAUGAAGAUCAUACAAGACACACAGUAACCAAUAAUACAGAAACUGAGCUUCAAAGAAAUCAUUCCUUAAUCUAUCAGACAUACCCUGAAGAUUGCCAUUAUAACAAAACAAUUGAUGGAUCUAAAGACCAUUUUGUUUCAAUCCAAUCAGCAGCAGGAACAAUUACCUCUAAGCAGGUUCCAAUAUCAAAACCACACAACCGUGAGUCGAAAUUUGUGAUAGAACCGUCAUAUAGUACUGCAGAUUUGAUUCUGUUACUUGAUACCUUGUAGUCCAACUUGGAGUUUAAUUUUGAGUGGAGCAUCUGUAGAAUCCACAAAGGAACAUUAGACAUCAACCAGUGGAAGUUACAUUCAAGAACGCAUAAACCACUAUGAAAGAGUUACUGUUAUCUAUCGCAUCCCACAAAUUGCACAAGUUUCAUCUGUUUUAUAUUUGAUUUGUCAACAGAAGACCAUGGCCCAAAGCAGCCAGAAAUUAUGACAAAAAUAUUGAAAAUCCAUAAACUCUGUCAUGUCCUCCUAGCACUGUUGUGACAGAAGACCUCUGGGCAAACUUAGGGAUCUCGAAGCCAUCAAUAAUCCUGAUAGAAAAAUACUUGAAAGACCUAAAAGGACAUAUUUGGGUCAAUUGGAAUAUAAGGCACUUGCAAGAUGAGAGGGGAUUGAAGGACCGUCUAAGGACCAAAAAAAAAAAAAAGAAAUCUAGACAACAGAUUUCUUUACCCAAUUUAAUGCUUCAGAUCCACUGUGUGAUUACUCUGCCAUGCAGCCCAUUUUGAAAAGAUUAGUUAGAAACAAUAAAUUAUAUCCAAGAAAUUUCACCAUGUCCAGUCACCAGGAAACAGCUAACUAGAAGAGAAGAUGACAAAACAGGAUAUGAUAAACUGAAGAAAUGUUAUAUUUCAAAAAGUUCUAAAGUUGCAUAAUCACGAAUGAAUAAUGGCUAUAAAUGUCUCACACCUUUGCAGCUCUAGCAAGGCUUUUCUGCGAGAUAUCAACACCAACAAUUUUCUCCAGGGAUGUCGGAUAAUCUAGGAGAGAAUCCAGCAAACUUCCAGAACCACAUCCAAAAUCAAUCUGAAGUAAAAUUGCAAAUUAGAAACCUAGAGUUACUUGAGAUCUUUAUAUAAAAUGGUAUACAAGCACAUACCAUUGACAAAGCAUGCGACUCUUGGAUGUGUUGUAACGCAUACUCAACACGCUGCUUUGACAGAGGAGGGCUGAACAAAGCCUGCUCCAUUCUGUCCUCCAAGGGUUCUGUUACACGUAACAACGUUAUAGUGUGCUCCAAACUGCAUUUCCCUGAAGACAUAAAGCCAAAAGAUGAAGAAAUCUUCCAGUCAAAUGCCAUAAUAGCCAGAAGGAUAUUUUCCCGCAUUGAAAGCCAUGGACUCAUGAUAUAGGAAAGAACCAUACUACUGCAAAUUCAACUCUAUAAGAUCCACACAAAUUCAACUAAAAAUGGGAUUAAAAAAGAAAACAUAACAACUGACUCACCUGAAGAUAAUAAUGAUAUUGUCGUUGGAGAAUCAUCGGCAGCUGCCAAAAUAAAUUCCAAAGGAGGCAACUCUGCACCAAAACAUGCAGAUUGACCAACAGAUAACUGUGUUAAAAUUCCUUCAAUAUAAGGAACAACAGCUCCAAUGCCCAUCUCAAAUUCAAACUCUUCAUUGCUUUCAAGAUGUUCCUUCAUGCCCCCUUCAGUAACCAAACAUGAAGUGUAGCCAAUGCAUACCAAAGAACCACUAGAUGGAUUAACUCCAGAUGCUUGUCCUCCCAUGUUAAGAGAGAAAACCCCAUUUUCUAGCAUGUCAUCAUUUGCUUUCAUAUGCUUAUGGUCCAAUAAUCCAUCUUCUACUGUAGCAAAGCUCAUCCAAAAGUCAUGCACCAAAGAACAAAUAUUAAACUCCUUUAGAAAGUACUCCGAAUAAAACUGAAUGCCAAGUUCCUUUGCAUUUGAGCUCAACUUCUCUGAAGAAAUAUUAGAUUCGCUGAAAAAAAGGUUCAACCAUAACAGGACUUUCAAAGCAGCAUUCUGGACCGCAUCUGUCUGUUUCUUGUAGGCUUUUGUCGACAAAAACUGCAAGAUCAAAUCCUGACACUUUGAAAAGAUCUUCACUUCGCAUUGAAAGUCUCCGGUCAGUCCAUCUGACUCACCUCCACCAGCAGCAGCAAGAACUGGACUCUUUUUCCCUUCUUCAAUAGGUUCUGUGACCUUCAACUUCUUACAUGUUCCAUGUGGAUCUGUUGAUGUGCCCAAGGAACUAUUACGGAUACAGAAGACAGGUUCUGCCAAACGAUGCUGACGGCAGAAUGUAUACAGGAUUUCUCUUGGAAAGAAACCCCUCCAGUUGCUUCUUGUGGUGAACGCCAUGGGCAAUUCUGCGACAAAUAUUGCCUCCCUCGAUAACUUGUACACUCCACUGGGUAUCUUAUUGAUGAGUAACCUGGCAAUGACCAAUUUAAGUAACUAGAUAACUCUGAGAUUUUCAAAUGAAGCUGAUACACAAUAAAGCAUUCAAAAUUAUAUACAAACCAGAAAUACAGUAUUUCAAGCUAGGUAAGACAGGAUUUUGCAAUUAAUUGAGCCAAAAAAAUUACCUAUAAUAUGUACGCAUGGACAAGUCUUCAUGAAACAGAUUGGCAGACUUCCAAACAUAACCUACAGAUGCCAAAAUGGCAUCCCCAUACACUUCCUGACCCGCAAAAUAACUUGCUCUGACAUUAAGUGAUCCCUGAAGCUGAACCCUGUGGACUUCCAGAGGCUCCAAUGAUUGGUCUAACAAUUGUUGUUUGGGACAGAAGUAUAAUCUGAUCUCAGAGGAAGCUUUGCCUAUAGUCCUAUAAAAGAAUAUUACUAGUUGUUAAUGACUAAGGCUCCUGAAAAAGAGUAAUCUAAUUAACUAAGCCAGCAAACCACUUGACCAGCUCCUAGCACAACAUUUACAUACAUAAGCGCACAAGUACAACCAAAUAGACACUACACUAUAUCCAUUUUACACGUUAACUGAUGCUUCAUUAUUCCAAAGUACAAAUGCAAAUUAUCCACACGACAAGUUUAGGGUGCUCAAAAAAAGAACCUACAGUUGCAAAGCACCCCUCAUGCUAAGGUACAUAACCUACAGAGAAAUAGGUAUAUAAGUUGGCAAUGUCAGUACAAGGUCCAAAGAAUUCCAUAUAGCAGAAGUAGCUUAUAAACUGCAUGGAGCAAUAUUAAUAUGGUAAAAUAAGCUAUGAUGAUAUUGCACACUACAUAGUUACUAUAUGUCAAACUAUAAGAGCAGUUGCAUCUGAUCCGUGUUGAUUUCAGGCAAAGUGCACUUGCACGUCUCAUAAUGGCUACCAGACUAGUAUCGAUGAUCACAAUGCUGGUCAACUGGCAGGCAUGCAGAUGCAUCAAUGCUGUUUUAUAGAACAUCACGCAGAAACCCAAUCUGAUGAUCAGGGAAAAAGCUGAAAUCUGACUAUUGAACCUUAAAGACUAACAUUCAGUGAAGAUGAGAAGAAGAAAUCAAACACUUCAUUGAAGAACAAAUUUAUUCAGCAAGAAAUUUCUGAGGAUGCAAGUAUUUAAGAAAUCUCUAUGCUUGAAAGUAUCAAGAUAAAGCAUAUAUCAAUUUAUUACCUUGAAACUUGCACUCUAGAAGCCUCAGUCACACCUAAUGCUUCUGCAAUCACAUCAAGGUAAUAACUAGCAGAGGACAGGUUAAGAACCAAGGUUUCAAUAGUCUCAUUUACAGAAGAAGGGAUACGUAUUGCUUGAAUCUCAAAGCUUUCCAGCAAGGUAGAUUCACAAUUUUCGACAGAUUGUAAAACAUCAGGAGGAUGUGGGCUUUGCCUCUUUAAUGAGAGAUGAUCUUCCAAAGGCAACAAAGAGCCAGAUAAUUUUUCAGCAGCACUAAGAAUAAUUGAUGUGAUCCCAAGCGGGUUUGACUCAACUUCAGGAUUUAUGUGUUUACACAGGUUAGUAAGCUUUGCAUCAUACAUGGCCAUAACAGAAAUUGGAAUACAACCAUUGAGAUGACCCUUUCUCUUCAAGACUGCUCUGAAGUGACCACUGAGAGGAUGACCAGAUGAGAGGAACUUCAUCAAUGUAAACAAAAAGACCAAGUUAAUAUUGACGUAAAUCCCAUCGGUAAAUACAGUACGUAUGUCAACCUUCAUUACAGAAGCUACUAAAGUCAAAAAAUCAGCCUGAUGAAAUCAGAAAAAUAAUGCUUCUUGAUGCCUGAAGUUUCUAAUAUCGCCAAAAUAAGAAAUAAAAUAAAAGUAAACACAGACACACCAAAACAGAGUAUGAAUAUGAGGUACAAUUAGCAGUAAGAACGUUAAGAGACACAACAAAGGACUUUGACAAUGAUCUCUGUUCUAAACAACAAAAUUGUAGUGAACCCUGGAGGGGAGAAAAAAACUGCUCAGAAACACACUAAUACACAUCAAAAACAGGCCAUAAUAUGCAAUUGAAAUAUGCAUAGCAACCAACAAUACAGAUAUAUUGCGCUUUCCUCAUUCAAAUUACUAGUUUCUCUCCCAUUUGUCAAAGUUUAUGCAGAACGGAGCUUGAAAGUAAGGAUGCAACAUUCUUGACAAACAAACCCAAAGCCAUGAUAGAAAUCCAAAAACCAUAGUGAUGGUGGAAGAGUAUCAUGAGUACAUUAGCAAGAAGUUCAAAUUUCUUAGCAACAGACAAGAAAUGUAAUGGACGUGGAACACUGGUUGCUUGAAAAUCAACAAGAUAGAUAGUAAGCAACUCAAAGAAGCAUAGGCAGAUACCUCACUUGAGAAUAAAUAUGCAAGACGAUCGACCAACUCGUCCCAUGCUUCCUCUUCAGUGGGAUUAUUUUCCUUCACAUGGAUACCUAGCUGCAGAGUUAAGAACAAAAAAUAAGUAAAUCAGAUACUUGACUCUUUAGUAUUUCACAGUUCUGGGCCAAAAAUGACAGCAUGCACCUAUUCAUUGACAGCUAUUCAUGUGAGAAUCAAAUUAAGGUUUAUUAAUUAUGUGCAAGCACAGAAAUGAGUUAACAUCUUCACAAAUGUUAAGCCUAUGGGGCCAAAUGAAUACAUAUUGAGACACCAUCUUAAUUCAUCCAAGGAAACAUCAUUAGUCCGAUCAAGACAUUGACUUUCAGAUAAGAAUGCAAGAAUAAUUGAGCCCAAUAUGCAGGAUAACAAAGUUCUAUUUCCAAACAAAACUUUGUGUAACUGAAUGUAACAUGAGGGUAUCAACAAUAUCAAUAAAAGUUAAAAAAUAAAAAAUAAAAAACAAGCUUCAAGGGUCUGGCACCCAAAAUAGUUUGCAACUUAGCAGAAUAUAAAAAAUACCGCGAUUUCUUCUGAAGAAGAUAUAAGAGAUAAAUAUACAUAAAAAUUGAGAUAUCACGAGCUAAACAAAAUCCUUUUCCAGAUGAAUUACUGCUUUUCUUUCAACCAUAUGCAACACUACCACAUUUAUCCAUAACAAUCAUUUGAUCACAUAUCUGCCAACUCAUAUAGAUGGACAUAUAAGACACCUCAAUUUCCAAGCUAAUUACUGGCAGUCUAUUGGAAACAGUUAAUUCAGUUUCUAAAUGAUACUCAAUUUUCUCUGUCUUGAACUGAAGCCCAAACAUUUUUCUAUGACAUUCCUCACAUUUGCUAGUCUACAUCAAUCAAAAUUGUAGAGUUUUAUAACAUGAUAAUUGCACAUGCAAAAGUAAUUAAAUCCUGUUCUCAAAGACGCCAACCACAAAGUCUGGAUUUAAGGAUUACAAAAAAAAUACUACGCCAAACAUGAGAAGGCAUAUCAGAUUGCUGGUAUUUACAGAUACACAAAAUUUUAUGUUUCCGAUUUUCAGUGAUAGCUACAAGGCAAUAAAUGAAACAGUAUCAUACCCCUUAUCAAAGUAAACUACAUGCGUGACCAUGAAGUAGGAACCACAAAAUUUGAGUGAUGCACAGAUAAUGAGGUUUACAAUUUAUGCUCAAACAAUACAAUAAGUUGGCUAAGUCAACCAGCAGUUCUACAGCAUCCCAUGGUAUAUGAUCUGGAGAAGUACGAAUUCAAAGAUCAGAGAAAACAACGAAAUACUUUCCUAUAUCAACCUGAAAAAAGCCACAACACUCUGUAAGGACAAAAUCUGCAGCUACAAAGAACAAGAGGGUCAACCAAAUUUUCAGAAACUUCAGCAAGAAAAUUAUGUCUUUAAAGAAAAUUUCAAAGAAGUUAAUCUAAAAUCUUAAUUUGUCUCACCUACACCAAAAAAUAAUAAUAAUAAUUUGCCUCACAAGGCUAUCCAAAAUCACAGUUUCUUUUUUUGGGAAAUAUAGAGGUGCAAAAGCUUAUACUCUGACUAGCCAUUCUUACAGUUUCUAGAUUUUAGUAAUACUCUGUAAUCUUUUUUUUUCCAGGGCAACACUCUGCAUUCAGCAUGGGGUACAAAAGUAAUUCAAUCAUUGCUUCAAUUUUUCUAAAACAAAUAAUUUUCCUGUCUGAUCGACCCUACAGAAAGUUGAAACUCUACAAUAAGGCACAAUGAGUAAUCCUGUAUGCACAUGAAGAAAGGUAGCAUGUAUUAAGCUAUAUCACACAUAUAAAGCAACUAAUAAAACAAAUCUAUACAGCCUUUAUUGGAAAGAAAAAGAUGUGACCAUUUCUAUAGCCUUCUCUGCAGCCGCUUGUUCUGCAUCCUUUUUUCUUGUAAAGGUUCCAGAGACAACAGAAAGUUCUGGAAGUUGCAGAUGGCAACGGUAAAGGCAGCGACCCUUCUGCCGGAUUGCUAGCCCUGGGCAUUCAUUUGGGAAAGAUUCCUCGACUUCAUCGACCUUAUAGGAGGCCUUACUGCCAAACUUCUGAGAUAUAAUGGCUUUAGGCGUAAGAGAUGACUUCUUUGCUGCAACAGCGGCGGAUGACAACGUUCCCAUUUGUCUUUCUACAGUCACAGUCAACUAAGCAUACUUGAAGUGGUUGAAUCUUCUUUCUUCCUAAGCACCAAGAAAGGAGUCCAUUAGUGUCAAGUAAUAUAACGAGCCGUAGACCAACCAUUACACAACAGAAGCCAAAUAUCAUUUAAGUUUAUCAAGGCAUUCAAUUGCAAGCAGAGUAACAGAUGUCAAUCGCCUUUUGAUUUCCGGAUUUACAAUCUCAACUGUUUGUUUUCUAUAUAUUAAUCGAAUGCUUUAGAAUCUUUCCACGAGAUAAUAAAUUGCUAAUUUUGGCCAAUUAACAGGAUUCUAAAAUAUUUAUACUUUAUUCGUUUCUCCGAACUAUCAAAAUCAUCCAACUUAUGAUCUAAAAAAUGCUUUAAAGGACAAUGCCUCUCACCCCAAAACAGGAGGAAUGGCAGUGAUUAAAUUUGUGCAAGCCUUAUCCAACUGAAGUUUUAAUACAGGAGCCAAGGCACCAACGUCAUAAACAAACUAACAACUUAUGAUGCACUUUGGUAUGAAGAAAAAUGACCAAAAGGUAUUAUCAUUUCUAAAAAUGCCAUAAUCCUUUUUCAGAAAAACAAAAUCAUAAAACAAAAUCAUCAGUUAGACUCAAAAAUUCUAACUUUUAGCUUUAGGCUUAUCAACUAAUUAUACUCCAUCACCUUCUCUUUAAACUAAUUAUCAACUAUUUAUAAAUAGAUUCAGCUGAAAGUUAACUCAAUUUACAAUGGUAUUCUCCCACUUCUUCGUCUCAAUGUUUCCUGGAUACCAACUUCAAAUAUCCAGUUUUUUUUUUAAUCUACUUUCGUGUUCUAGUUCAAUGGUCUCAUUCAUAGAAGAGUUUGCAGGCCACCCUGCAAGCCAGUGCUCAAGGAACAUGAUCUAUAAUAGAAAAGUUGUAUUUAAACCAUUGCCAAAAGAGAAGUUAUUUCCAUGUAUGAAGUUGAGCCAUAACAAUCAUGUCAAAUCUCUCAUCAUCCUAGAUGAAUUGUUGCAUUUAUUGACCUACAAACGAAACCCCCUACUAGAAAAUAAUAAAUCAAUUGAUAGAUAAAUCUUUCAUGUUUGGAAAUUCUAUACAUAAAAGGAAUGCAAGAUACAGACAUCCUGUUAUGAUUUACUUAAUUUACAGACCUGCAAUCGAAAAAAUAUAUUAUACAUAUAGUCCAAUCCUGAUCAUCUCAUAAUAUAUUAUGCUAGUUCCAACAACUUCUAUUAUCUAUAUUAUAACAUUAUAUUUCCAUAUAUUUUCAGGGCCUGGUAGGUAUUGAAAAGUGCAUAUCACUUCAUACAUUUCUCAUCCAAUACAGCUCACAACAAAAUCCAGAACUGAAUUCACAGAAACUCUCUUUGUGAAGCUUUGACGACAAGACAAUCACAUAAAAUGGCUAACAGUGGAAAAUUUAAUCAAGAUCACUGAUGAAUUGAGGCCCUUAAUGUCCAACACAGACAUAUUUGACCUCAAUGUCCAACAUAAACAUAUUAGAGAAAACCUACUGAAAUACCAUCAAAAUCAUAAUUAACAAGUACUUAUCAUUAAGAACGAAGAGAAUGAACCAACAAAACUCGAAUCUUAAUGCUUUCAUUUCUUCUUCCCUUGCCAUUUCUUGCAUGCAAUCAAUUAAUUCGUCAGAGCAAUACAUUACAUGGAAAGAACAACAGUACUUCUUUUCCAAUUUUCAACUUCUUCACCUCAAAUUUGUGAAAAAAAUUAUGUCAAAAUGAUCAAUAAAAGAGCAGCAGCAAUAGCAGCAAAUGAAGAAAUUUGAUUCUAAAAAUCAAGAAACGUCAUCAAGAACUACAAAUGACUAAAACUUUACAGUAUAGCCAAUAAAGAACAUACAGAGAAGCACAAGCAUCAGAUUGUCAUAUGGGUUUUGAUUGCCAUCGUCUUUAACUUCUUGCACAUUGACGCCAAGAAUUCAAGGAAAAGUAAUUAAAGAAUGGCAUACCAUUCUUUAAGCCAAUCCAGAGUGCCAAAGAAAAACAACAAAACGAAAGAAAAAUGCACUAAUAAAAGAAGAGACGAUAUGCCCACAAAAAGAGGAGAACAUUACUGAGACUUCCCUUAAGAUGGAAGAAAGCAAGAAAAAAGAUAAAUGGGUGUUGGAAAAAGAUGGUACCUGCAAAUUGGCCAUGGACUAAGACUUGUGACAAGGAGAGAAAAGGAAAGUGAUUCGUGUGGAGGACUGGUUUGUGUUGGGCAAAUUUGGCAAUGGGUUUUGGGUUUUAAGCGUGUUGUGUCAGCCGGGGAAGUGGUGGGGCGUUUCGUAUUUCACCUUUUUCGAAUUGAGAGAAAUCGAGAAGAAAAGGAAAAGCCAAGGAAGCAUUGGCUUUUCAAAAGGAAGCAAGGCUUUUCAAAACUUAUUUGAAAAAAUUUUUUAAAAAAAAGUAUAAGUUGGAUUUUUUAAUGGCAUUCAUUUUUUUUAAUUAUUUGAUUAGCAUUUGUUUCUUGAUCAUUUUACAAAAUCUUAUUAAAGAACUUAAUUCUUGAAAGAAAGUAAUACUGGAAAAAAAACUUAUUAAAGAACUUUAAUUCUUGAAGGAAAGUAAUAUUGAAAAAAAUACAUAAAGUAAUAUUGAAGUGUAUGUUCUUUUUUUUUUUUUGAAAGUUGAUAAUGAAAUAUUUUAGAGUUAUUAUCAAUUUACCCCCUUAACAUUUGACGUCACUAUCAAUUUCCCCCUUAACGUUAUUUUUUAGUCAUUUUACUUUCAAAACUAAUAGUCAAACUUAACGAAAUUUAUUAAUUCAAGUGAUAAGACAAUAAAUUAUUAUCACUUUAAAAUUAUUAUCACUUUACCCCAUAAAUUAUAACAUUAUUAUCAAUUUACCCCCUAAAAUUAUUUUUUAGAUAAUUUAUCUCACCAUUAAACCAACUUAACAAGUUAAAAAACUUUAGAAAAUAGUACCCUCUUAUACAAAUAGAAAAUAGUACCCUCUUCUCCUAUUUAGUAGUAAGAAAAAAAAGUCAAAAUAUUAAUCUCUUUCUUUUUGACAAUCUUAUUAAUAUUGAAACAAAUAGAAAAUAUAGGGGAAGGAGAGAGAGAGCUCAAUUCUAUUUUUUUUUUUAAUACAAACAAGAAAGAAUUCAAUAUUUUUAUUAUUUUAAAAUUACUUUACUUUUCUGUUUAUUAUCCAAUUCCAAUCCUAAUUCUAAGAACAUUAAAGUAAUACGAUAAUAUUAUAUUCUUCCUUAUUUUCCUUCUUUGCAAAAUCUAAUUUUCUGUCUCCUUUUGUUCCAUCUCUUUUUCUUUUCCAACUAUUAAUAAGUGUGAAAAAAGAAAUUUGAAAAAAUCCUUUUAUUUUUAUGUUUUUGGAAUCUUAGAGUGACAAAAAGGAAGAAUAAUUAUUCCAACUUUUUUAUUUUCAAUUAUCUACAAAAAGGUAAAUAUAUUUUAACAUUUUUGAACAUACUUUUUAGAUUAAUGAUAGCUAUCAGAGAGUAAAGCGAUUAUAUCACUAGAAUUUAAAGGGAUAAAGCAAUAAUGACAAUGUAGCAAUGCUAUAAAAUAAAAUGAUAUUUUUAUCAAAAUUUUAUUAACAUGCUGAGUUGAAUUACCUAUAUGAUGAAGUGACUAAAAGAUAGCAUUAUGGGGUAAAUUGAUAGUAGUAAUAAUUUAAGGGAAUAAAGUGAUAAUAAGCUAAUAUUUUAAACGAUUUAGUAUGCUUGAAUAUUUUUAAAACUGAUAAGUGCAUUUUUAUUUAAUAGUUUCCACUCUCAAUAUACCUAUGGAGCCUAAUUAAUUUAUAAGCAAAUUUUGGUACUUUCCCUUGAAAAACAAAUGCACAUUGUCUCCACAAAUUUACCCUUCUGUGCUAGAAAAAUUGUUUAAUUAGUCCCUCAUAUUUUAAGAUUACCCCUUUUUAUUAUCGGUACAUUUAAUAUAAUGCAUUUUAAUCCAUCAAAAUUCACCAAUCAGGCUUGCCUCUCAAUUUUGGCCUCUUUUACGCAAGUUUUACUAGUGAUUUGUGAAAAUUAAUUCAACCACUAAAAUGUAGGCUUUGGACAAAGACUAAGAAAGAUAUAAAGCUGUGCUUAGGUUCCAUUAGAUACUGAGUCAUUCUUUUAUUUCACAAAGAGAUUUUGUUGCAUUAUAGAGCAGCAAGAAUUAAAAAGUUAUUAUCACACAAUUAUUUUUUAACUACGAAAGUUUUUUUUUUUCGCCCCUCAAGUAUCAUGCCAAGAGCACACAUGACAUCCUCAGGCCAAAAACGGGCUGACAAUGAGAAUUCAGGCAAGAAAUAGAGCACAUUUUAAAUAUGUAAAGGACUCAAAUGCAUCAUGCUAAUGUGGGAAUUAGAAAAUAAAUCACAAAGCAAGGGACUAUUUGUGAAAUUUUGCUUUUAUUGUUUGUUUUACUACAAUUUGUCAUUGAAGGAUAAUGGACAAAGCCACUCUUUGGAUGGCUAUUAAUUAAACCCAACAAAAAAAAAAUAUUGGAGCAUUUAUUUGGAAGGACACAAAAAUUGUUGGCACUCCACUCCAAGAUGUUGAUAUUUACUAUUAUCCAAUCCUUCCAUUGAAACUACUAUGAGAAAUCUUUGUAAAACGUGAUACUGAACUAGGUAAGGCAACAAAGCCAAAGCCAAAGCCAAAAAUUUCCUUAAAUAUCAAUUGUAAUUCAACCAUUGUCCAUAUUUCAUCUCUACCAUUAAGUGGAAAUAAAAUUUUACAAAUUACAAACCUAAGGGACCAACAUAAUACAAAAUGCAUAAAAUACUAGAAUCAAUUGCUUACAGGACCAAGACAAAGUCAAUGAAUAAAUCUAAAAUUUUCACUUUCUUGAUCACAUUCGUCCACUUCUUCAAAUUCGAACAAUUUUAGUUAUCCCCAUAUCUUUGGUACAUACCUCUUCAAAUGCUAAGAUCUCUGCAAGAUAUUAAUAAAUGAAAUGAGUGACAACUUGCUAGAUAAGUAGCUCACUUUAUUGCCAACGGCCAUUUGGUCUGUUGAUCACCAUCAAAAAGUUUUGAGACUACGGGUGCGAGGUCAAGGGUUUGAAUCUUGCAUCUCAUCCGUCAGUCAUUUCUAGGGUUUCUAAUGUUAGUUUUGCCAAUUAUCACCUGUACCAAAGCUUAACAAAAGCAUUCGUUCCAAAUCAAUUGAUCACAUUAUUUUAUAUAGAAAGUGUUACAAAAUACACACACUCAAGCUGGAUUUCAAAUUUAAAAAAUAUUUCAAAAUCAUUAAAGUCAUAUAGAUUAUAUUAAACAUACGGUGUAUGUGAAUCACUUGCCCCAACUAUGUAGGUUAAAAUCCAACUCAACUCCAAGCAUUUCCCACCUACACAUAGCAAAAAUACUUAAUUCUAGAUCUAAUGACACUCAAUCGUGCUAAUUUAUCAUAAUAAGGAACCCAAACACUUGCCUUAAAUAAUAAUCUAUAUCAUUAUCAAGGACCUCAAACAUUACACCAAGCUUUGCUUUCACAUUCCACAACCCAUAUAUUAUAACAUAUAUACAGUAUCAUACCUAAAUCGUACAAUAUCUAUCAGAAUAAAUCGUUUCCUUAAACAACCAAAUACCUCAAGUUUCACUUCCAAUAUUUAAUAAUAUAAUUAAACUUAAAAAAAAAAGAUAUUAGGCAAGAAAUCAUAAAUUUUCUACAAAAAUAAUUAUCCACCAAGAAUAUUCAAACAUAUAUUCAUUCUCCUCUAAGGGUCCGUUUGUUUCGGGUGAAAAUGUUUUCCAGGAAAAUAUUUUCCUAAUUUCUCGUGUUUGGUUGCACAAAAGUUACUGAAAACAUUUUCCUAUGUAAAAUAUUUUCACUCAUCUUAUGGAAAACAGCUUCCCUUCCAAACUUACUGAAGUUAUUUUCCGAAAUGCAUGCAUCUUGCCUGUAGUAUGUUCCAAACUUACUGAAAUCAUCUUAUAGUAUGUUCUUUUUCUUUUUUUUAGUGUAAACAGGAGGACUCGAUCUCAAGACCUCCUCCUUACACUCCCUCCCCCUUACCACCAAACCCAACCCAACCCUCCCCCUAGUAUAUUCAAAAAAAAAAAAAAAAAACUCAUUCUGCUCAUCCUAUGCUAGUAAUUAAUUAUGUAUAAUAGGGACAUUCUUUUCUAGAGAAACUUUCAGCAGUGAGAGUGCAAGAUAUAUAUGUCACAAUAAGCAUUGCAUGUGAUUGAUAUUUGACACUAAAUGGCCAGCAAUUUGUUUAUUGCUUAAGGAGAUAUUUUUUAUUCAUAUAUACAUUUUUCGAAGAUUUUUUAAAGUUAAACAAUGAAAUAAAUUUUCUUAUUUUGCAUGGGAAGAAGUAUGUAGUUAUAAUGUGUAGAAAGUAAAAAUAGAGAUAAAAGUGAAAAUAUUUCAAAAGUUAAACAAACACCAGAAAAAUGAAAUAAGAAAAUAUUUUCAAUAAACUAACCAAACAUCUGAAAAUGAUAAAAGAGAAAUGAUUUUCAUGGAAAAUUACUUCCACGGAAAAUAUUUUCCCAAGGAAAACAUUUUAUUUCCAAUCAAACAGACCCUAAAUGUAACUAAAAAUGUAAACAUUGAUCAGUCGCCUUGUAAAAGAGGCUAAGGAUGAAGCCUCAAGUUUUCUUCUAUCAGCUUUGGUUCUUGAUUUGUUUGGAUAUCGCCUGGAAGGGAAAAUGAAUGAGUGAGGUUUAGAGAGAUGAAAAGUUUUCAUUAACUAUAUAUAUAUCUAAAUUUUCUUAUUUUGCUCACACAAUCUCUAAUUCUUAACUUUCACAACUUGAACCCCCAAAGUUUAUUAUAUUCUCCUCUAAAACCCCCAAUGAAGGAAAUCGAUGUCACGGGGAACAAAAAAAGAAAUUGUUGAAAUCCCUAAAUCCCAUACCGUUUUGUUAAAUCACCACUUCCCUGCUUCCUCGUCUUGAUUCUCUUUUUUCAUUUUUUAAAUGAUUAUGUAAUACAUCUAUAUGGAUGACGAGUAUUGCCUAAUAUAUACGUAUACAUAUAUAUAUAUACAUACAAACAUACAUACAUAUAUAUAUAUAUAUAUAUAUAUAUAUAUAACACAAACAUAUACAUAUAUGUGUGUGCCUGAACGUGCAAGGGAUAAGGUGACUAAUUCCAUAGCUUAGAUUGUGUAUCAUCACAUAAUUGAAAUGAAAAUGAAAUUAUAAAGACUCUGCUUGAAUGGGGAUAUAAAAGAAUUUCUCAAAUCUUGGGGAGGCAACCGCUUCUCCUUGCCCUCCAUUACUUCCGCCAGUGGGUUGCAAUAUAGCACCAUAUUCUGCACAUAAUUAAGAACAAUUUUCAAACAACAAGAGGUAAAUUUUAUACGAAAGAAGGUACUCGUUUUGAAAUGAAAUAUGUUAACCAAGACUUAAUUCAAUGAUGUCCAUUUGAGGAAGAAAAUCCUUGAGAAUGAACUUUAAGUACACUUUUAGGUCGAGUUAUAUGUAUGAUGAGAACUUAAAGGUAACUAGUUAUGGUGACUAAGAUUGGUACAAGGUGAUGGUGUGUAAUUGUGUGUUUAGAUAAAGUCUAAGGUAAGGUGAGACGGAAGGUUGAGGUAAAUGAUAGGGUGGAAUGAGCUAUGGUCUUACAGGAUUUGUGACAAGUGGCCAAUAUGUACUACAUUUAGUGGCUAUCGUUUAGGAUUUUUAAGUUUUUUUUUUUUUUUUGGCUUGAAAUCAAGAAGGGAAUUGCUUGUAGUGAUUAAAAGUUGAUGCGUAAAUAUUGUUGAUUACUAUUAGGGUCAAUUCUUUUUUACUUGUUUAAUAUGGUUAUUUUUACAGGAAGGAGGAAAAGACUUGAACAAAUAGCGAUUAUCAAAUUAAACAAAAAAAAUGAGAAAAUUGUUGAAGAUGCAGGGCAACGUAAUCGGCCCAAUAACCUCAUGGGCUAGGACCGGUUAAUGGACUGAUCACAUCCGAUUGAAGCGCUUGGGUCGGCUAUCGCCUUCCCCCUGACAAAAUGUUGGCCAAAAUUUUUACGAAACAGGGCAUAAAAAUCAGCCAGCCAUGUGACCUUAGCAACACGAGCCGGCUCCAGGGCUGAUUAUCUAGCCGCAUUUCUGAGCAAGUUGCACUGGGUUUCUUGUCAGAUACUCCUCGUAUGUGUUUCAAGUAUUGACGAGACGUUGUGGUUGCUAGAAGGAGAGUACAAGUAUCAACAAGAAACAACUUUUGUCAUUUUAAAUCUUCUUCAUCCCAUUGGAGCCAGAUUGUUGAUUUUUGAAGCCAACUUUUAUCAAAUGUGCACACUAGAAAUAAAACACAAGAAAAAGGGCUCAAAAACUUCUCUAUAAAAUAGAAACUUGUGUCUUCUCAUAAAGGAGCUUUUGAGAAGUGAAAGAACUUCAUCAUUAAAAAUGUAACAUUCAUAUUUUCUUAGUUUUAGAAUAGAGUGCGAUAGUUUAGGUAAUUGUAUAUCGUCCUCUCUUGUGUAUAGGUAGGCAAAGAUGAAGAAGGAGAUGAACUCAUGUAACUAGGAUUUUAUUUCUUUCCAAACUCUUUGUCCUUUAUAUUUGAUUAUACUGUUUACUUAAUACACAAGUUUGGAUUUUAUGUUCGUUAUUGGAUUUUAUGUUCGUUAUGUGUUUCUAAAGUUUAUAUCUAAAAUUAUGGAUGAAUUUGUUGUAUCUUGUUUGUGAUGUUUAUUGGUUAUUUCAUACUAUUAUUUUGAACAAGUUAUUUAGCACUUUAACUUCUAUAUCAUGAUUAACUAGCCAUUAAUUGUUUGGUAAUCUCAAGGCAUUAAAUUAAUAAUGAAAAUUGAGAUUUAAUACUAGUUCAAUUGAAAGUACUAAAUUUAGAGAGUUUACUCAUGAAAGUUGAAGUACACUUUUGUGACCUUGAUGAUUUGUUCCAUAAAAUUUCAUAGAAGUGAAUGAACUUAUAACUAGUUUCAUAACUAUGAAAGUAGGUAUGAAAUAGUUAUAAGUAUAGUUGAUUUAUAGAAAAAACGGGUUUCACAUGCUUUAAGAAAUUAUGCUAUAACUAACCAAUAUAAUAACAUUCAAUUAACCAAUAAUUUCACUUGCAAUAGUAGUUAGUAAUUCAAUAACCCUAGGAACUUUUAUCAUUGUUUUUGUUUAAUUUUACUUCAUGCUCUUGGUACAAUUUUAAUUGCUUCAUUUAUGGUGGUGUAAAUAAUAAAGGAAUUUGAAAAACCAUCGGUAGUUAUAUCAUUUUUCUUUGUGGGAUUGAUACGUAAUAUCCCUUAUAUUCAGCAAAAUAAUUUGUAUACUUACAGAAAAUGAGUUAUUUAAGUUUUUAAAAUUUGGUGUAAAGGAAAAAUCUAGUCAAUUUGGUAGGAGGGUAAGGGUGCAUGGCUAGGGUUGGUGGUCAUAAUAGGAAAGUAGGAUACGACAUUGAUGUGAUAGUUAGUUGGGGAAGGGGAUAAACAAUAAUGUACAAAAAAUUAUUUAUUUAUUUUCUAUCUUAUAUCUGUUUUUCGAACAAUUUAUAACAAUAAUUCUAGUGUUUAGCCUUAUUUUUAUCAAUUUUCUUUUGGUAUGACACAUACAUAGAUUUGUAAUAAAUGUUCUUUUUUUCUUUGUCUUGAUUGAGAUUUUACAAAUGAAAAUAGAAAACAACAAAAAUUUAAUGUUUUAAAAUAAGAAAUUCAAGCAUAAUAGUAUUCUAGAAGUUCUUCUAAUUAUUCAAGUAUACUAUUUAUCGAAUUUGUGCUUUGUUAAAAAAUUUAAAAUGCAAAUAAUUCACAAUAUUACCCCUACUUGAUAUGGAGCAAUAGACCAAUGUACUUGAAUUAAUUAUCCAUGAAAAUCGUUGUUGACAUUGAUAUACAAAAUUACAAUCUUUUCUAUACAAUUCUAAAUAAUACAUGAUAUAGUAACAUGUCAUUCAUAUCCAAUGAGUGGUAAGAAAUCAAAACUUUAUUAAUUAUGCAAUACAUAUAUACUUGGUAACAUAUACUGGUACGCAAUAGCGGAAAUAGAAUGCAAAGUAUUAAAGACAUUCAAAUAGAAAAAGGUUGAAAAAAAGGCAUUUAAAAUUUAAAAAUCUUAUUAGGUAUUUUGUGUACUCAUUUCUCUAAUUCCAUUCUACCUAUUUACUUUCAAAAUGUCUCCAAUUGGUCUCCUUCGCUCCUUUGUAUAGUCUCCUGUAUACUUUCAUUUUUCUCUUGCUUUAGUGAAAAUUUUCUAGUCUUAAUAUGCUACUUUUACUUUUGGCUUGAUAAAUCUCUUUCCUUAAUAUGCUACUUUUAACUCUUUUUUUCUAGACUUGACUACUAGUCGGAGGGUUAGCAAUGCUGCACUUGAGUAGAAUAUUUUAUCACUAUGGAUAGUGUCAAUAAUAGAGGAUCUCUCCGUUAGUUUUUGAUCAACUUUGGGCAUUAUGAUACAAACUUUGGCAAUUUUUCUUUUUCCUUUGGAUUGACAAUGUACUAUUCAUACUAUUAUUUGAGUGUUAAUUGAAGAAUUGCAAGGUUUUGUUACGUAUUCUUCUUGUGUUCGAACCCUAAUUCUAUGUGUUCCAUUAUUAUUGAUACAUUAAAGUCAAAUUAUAAAAAAUUUUAUGUCGAUCCAGAGCAACUAUUAGGCAUGCCUAGUAGUUGCUUCUAAACCAAUGAAAGAGUUCCAGGUGAAUAUAUAAGAGUCCAUUGGAGUUGUUUAGAAUAAAAUUGCUAGUAGUUGCUUUGAACCAAUGAAAGAAUUUCAGGUGAAUAUAUAAGAGUCCACAGGACUUUUUUACAAUAAAAUUUCGGGAAAGAGAACCAAAAUAUUUCAAAAAGUUAGGCAAGACAUCUUGUAUUGCUGAAUAGAACACCCACUCAUAGAUUAGGCAUACAGGCAUUCAAGCCAUUUUCAUUGGAGAACAUGCAAUUUAUUUAUAUUCAUUAGUUUGUAAAAGGAUUUAAUGUAGAUUUUGAUGGGAUCAAAUGGCUCUUCAUGUACCUUUAUCUUUGGAAGCCCAAGCGGAGGCCCGUUUACUUAUGUCCCCAUUUACUUAUGUUUUUUCAUAUGAAUCUUUUGUCUCUGUCUGUUCAGGAUCCUAUUUCAAUACAUCUCUAUCUAUUGAGAAUCCCAUUUCAGUAUGUCUCCAUCUAUUGGGAUCCAAUUUCAAUACCAACACAAGCUCCAUGUAUUGAUGAGUGAGAAUUGUCAAGCUAUUUGUGUUAAUGGAAUUUUUUUAAAUAAUUCUUGCAUGCAAUUAGAGCUUUUCAUCAGAAACAAAUCAAUUUAGAUAAUCCUUUGUGGUUCCAAUGGCAACUAGACCCACACGUUAUUGCUUCAAGAGAAAUUCCAAUUGAAAUUCACUAUGGAUUAUGAAUUUUUACGGAUUUAUUAUGAGAUUUAUGGACACUUAUUUAAUAGUAAAAAGUAAAAAAAAAAAAAGGAAUUCUUUUUCUAUAUAUUCGAACAUUGUUGGCCAUAUUUCUCUUUAUCCAAAAAUUGAAAAACCAUACAAGGGUGUUUUUCAUGCCUGUUUAAUUCUAUGAUACCGGUGGGAAUUCAAGUCUCUCCAGUUCAGCUAUGAUUAUAGUUCCGGAAUUUCUACGCGAAUCAAGAUUGAGAAAAAAGGAAAAUUUUCAAUGACUAACCCUAACCCACUGUCGGAUCCUACUCGACAAAAUAUGGAGGUAUUUAUGGCUAAACGGUCCAAUUUGGUCUUUCACAAUAAAUCGAUACACGAAACUGCCAUGAAAUGACUUGUUAGUCGAUUAAUAGAUCACUUUGGAAUGGCAUAUACAUCACACAUCCUAGAUCAAGAAAAAUCUCUAGGUUUAAAACAAGUUACCGCUACAUCUAUUUCAUUAGAAAUUGACGAUCUUUUAACAAUGCCCUCAAAGGAAUGGCUAGUUCAAGAUGCUAAACAACAAUGUUUGAUUUUAGAAAAUCACCACCAUUGUGAGAAUAUAAAUGCAGUAGAAAAAUUAUGCCAAUCCAUUGAAAUCUAUUGAAAUGUGAUAUGCUACAAGUGAAUAUUUGCGACAGGUCAUCAUUUAACCUUUUUAUUCACAACACUAUUAGACGUGUCUAACCGUUGCUCCUGAACUAACGAACCAAUAAAAGAGUUCCACGUGAACAUGUAAGAGUUUCAUUUGAUUUAAUUUAAGACCCCACUUAACAUGUGAAUUACCAGGUGAUGUCUUUAUACAUGCACGUGCCUUUUCUAUUGGUCUUGGAUCAAGUACCAGUGGACGUUUGCUAUUAGUCCUAAAUCAAUUAUUUGGCAUGACCAGUAAUUGUUUUGGACUGAUAUUAAACUUCUCAUAAAACUGUUGUCUUGUAAUAUGUCCGUCAAGGCAAGAGGCAGAUAAGCCAAUAAUUGUGUUUCACGACAAGAAGACUUUUCUUGGCUUGAAUCGUAAGUGAGAAACAAAGGGGACACAGGGAAACAUAUUCUUGCAAAUUUGUGACAUGGGAAUUAUGUGGUAGUUAAUAGAAUUCAGUUGCACACUGCUCAACUGGUUUCUCGUGUUAGAAUAUUUAUGUGGCCUACAUGACCACAUAUAAUAUUAUUAAGAUGACUCCCGUUAAUUAGAAGGAUAAAUAACCAUAUGAAUAAAUACGAAUAACCAAUUCUAAUGAGAAUAGAUGACUGGAGGAAGUAGGGAGCCCCAUAUUCAUUGUAUGUGGACAUAUUAUAUGAUAUUUAUUGUGGUACUUUAUCUGAUAAUUACAGUAAUUUUAAACUGUAUCCUAUCAUUAUGGUUAACAAAUAAAGUAUGAUAAGAAUAUUAGAGUUUAUCAUUAUCCCAUGAUGGGAGGGGUUGUGACCCUAUAAAUGUUCUAGGGCUCCUGGUCCCUCUCACCACUCUGACAUUCGUUAUUUUACCCAUCACUACAAUAACAUAAUAGAGAGUUAGGUGAGAGAAGACUAGACAGUAAAGGUUUAUAGUUUACAACCUUGGUGAUUGGAAGGCUUGCUGAAAGGUCUGUGAAAUUCUUCUCCAAAUGUCUUCAAUAUCUCAAGGUAUGUUAUUCUAGAAUUUAUUAUUUCUUAAUUUUAAUUUACAAAUCAUACUAAAGAUCCUGCUCCUUAUGUCUAACAUCUCGAUCUUCAAUAAUUUCUCAUGGGAAAAAAAUAUUUCUUAAGAAUUAUUUUCAUGUAGAAACAUUCCACGAUGUAAAGAACAACAAACAUGUCAAAAUUACUAGUAGGAAAAGUGCAAAAUCAAUAUUUAAUUUAUAAUUAUAGUCACUGUUUCCAUGGAUUACACAAAAUUCGAUUGAGGUUUGUUCUAGUUAUCUAUGUUGGUUUUGUCUAAAGAUUCAUUAACUAAAAGAAUCAUUGUCAGAAGUGAGUCGCUUUAUUAUCAUAAACAUUAAGAUUUGGUUGCCAAAGGACCUUCCGUUUUCCUCCUUGUUCAUCAAUCCAAAGCCAAAGACUACUAUGGGAUAACUUUCCAAAAACCCACCAGAUAGGAACAUCAAUCCUUUACUACUUGAACUGGAAUUCCCAGCAAAUUUAACCUACAUUUGAUUAGAGUAUCCACUACAACAAUUAGCCUGCAUUUGGAAUCCUCAAAAACUUUAACGUACAUUUGAUUAGAAUAUCUGCUGCAACGUUUAGCUAUGUGUGCUUGAUUGCAAAGUAUCCGAGCCCCUUAAAGGGUUGAAAACUGCAUUCACCAAACACUAGUAGAGGAAUGGUGAAGCAACCUUCCACUGCAUACUCGAGGAAUGGUGAAGUGACUUUCCACCGCGUAUUUCACAUCUAUAUUGUCGAUACGGAUCAAAAGAUCGUGAAUGUUAAAAUUACGAUUGAAUUACAUGUGCUUCCUCCUCCCCUUCUUGUCAGCUAGUCUUUGAGUUUUUAGUCCUAGAGUAUUGAAAUGUGAGAUGAAUCACGUACUUUUUAUGAAUUCUCUCUUGGAAUAGUCUGUGAAUUGAAAUGAAAAUAAAGCUUGUUAAAAUUCAAAAUAUUGGACAAAAGGAAAAUGCUUAAUAUAACCUCUUGAUGAUCAUUACAAUGAGGAAACGUUUUGGGCACUUUUUGUCCGUUGAAGGAGACUAAUGCAGCCUCUUAAUGACCAUUAUAGCGAGGAAACGGUUUUGUCAUUUUUGUUCAUUAAAGGAGACUAAUGAAGGCUCUUCAGUCUUAUUAAAGUAAGGAAAUUGUGGUUCUUUAGUUACGGUGUCUUUUCCCCUAUAAAUGACAAGUUUCAAACUAACUACCUAACUUAACCAUGUUGAUCCUUUUUUGGUAAAAGGUCCUUUGAUUUUGCUGUUAAACAUUCUUCAUUCUUAUUGUAUCUUAUCGGUAUAUUGCCUUAAUUUAGAACCAAAUUACCACGUGUAAGUGGGGGCAAUAAACACCUUAAGGAUAAUGGUUGUUCACGCCUCAAAAAUCAUCAACAAGUUCCCUAUCCUUUUGUGAAAUUUGUUUGUAAAGUUUCUGCAUUCUUCAAUUGUCAUGCACCAAUUUUUCCUAACAUUCUGGUUGAAGCUUUUAGUCAAGGGAUUGUGUACAGAGGAAGACUGUUACAAGACGGUUAUACGUUUCGGCUUUGUAAGCAAUAGGUUUUGAAAUGUUAAGAUUUUUACAAGAUAUAAUUUUUAAAAAUUAAUCUCAGGUUAAACAACAUACAGAUAUAAUAUGAAAAGUUUAUCGUAUAUGUAAUUUAUUGCUCUAUAAUAAAACACAAGUGUAUUUUAUUGGUCUCGUUCUUCAAGAUUCAACUUUAACUCUUCAAGAAUUAAUGUAGCACUGCUAUGGGCAUAUAUAGAGACCCGAGACCAAUCAGGCACCAAGAACCUAAAUCAACUAGUAAUUGGACAGGUACUUUUAACCGACAAAGGAAACUGACUUGGACUUGGAUAUUUCUAAUUUCCAUGGUGGAAAUACUGAUAACAUUGACUAAUAAUACGAAGUGGAAACGGACUAGACUUUAACUUCAGGAAACUAAAUUUAGCAAGACUAGACACCAAAAAAAAACUAAAAUAAUUAGGCAACUAAAUAUUAAGAUAGUUUGAUUUAAUUUCCUUCAAUUAGAAGGCACAUUAGGAGGCUUGAGUAAAAUGAUAAAGAACUUGAUAAAAGUCAAUCGCUGUAAUUGGAUGUGCUCAAUAGAUUUACAUUUUGGAUUCGUGGAUUAAACUUGAGGAAUCUACAACAUAAUUCAUGUGUUAAUUUAUGUGAUUUGUAAUUGAAUUUAUGAAGCCAUUUAUGGUUUUCCUAUUUAAUGGAUUUCAUAAAAACGAUUCCGUGGUUAACUAGGCUUCUUUUUCUUUUCUGGUGAAAAAAAAAUAUUUUUUCCAACAAUUUGUUUUGCUAAAUGAGUUUGUAAAUUAAAUGAACAUCUUUGAUUAGCCUUUAAUUGAUGGAUAGCUAACCCAGUUUUUUGUGCAAAGAAAGACUUCCUUUUUUUUACACUAUUAUUCACUAAAAUGAGUUAAAUUCUUUUGGGAAAACACCAUGUAAAAGUUAAGGGAUAAUUUGAGAAACCUCCCCUGAGUUUUCUAACAAUUUCACAAAGCUCCCCUUAAUAUUUCAAAAUUACACAUACCUACCCUAUUGCUGCAAAAGUACUGUACUACCUCUAUAUAGGAUACUUAACGACAUUUUUUUUUUGUGGAAAAUUUCAGAAAUUCCAAGAAAAACCAAAAUUUACUUAUUCUAUCUCUCUCUCUCUCUCUCUCUCUCACACACACACACUUCCUCCUUUUUACGUUACUCUUUCUUUCAUUUCCUUUUUUCUAAAUUUCUGCCACACAUUCCUCGCUGUCUAAUAUUUUUCCUCCAAUUCAAGACCAAAUUCUAUCUAUCAUCCCUUGCCCGUAUUUAUCCCCUCCUUCCCUUCUUUUUCUUCUUCUUUUCUCUAUUCUCAUCUCUCUUUUUUCGCAAAUUUGAUUAUAUUCAUCCUUUUUAUCCUUUUAAUUCUAAGUGUAAUGGGUUUGAUUUUUCUGCGUCUAUUUAUUUUAUCUAGUGUUGGUUGAUUAUGGGUGGUAAAACUUAGUGAUGUCAAAAGUCAAGAAUUUAAGGGAUGGAUGGGCUUUAGAAAUGGGUGGUUGAAAAAAAAAAAUAAAGGAGGCUACAAAGAGAGGAAGACGAAAAAGUUGCGCUAUUGAUUGUUGAUGAAGUGUUAGUUUUGGUUAAAUUUCAGGUUGAGUUUAUCCAAUUUAGCACCAAAUGACGGAUUUAAUUGAUUUGUGUAGUAAAUGUAGGGGUUUGGGCUACUGGACAUAAAGUAGGUUAUAGUGUUUGGAGUGCUAGAAUUGGAAUUUAUUUUGAUUUAAAUUGGGGUGUUUGCUUGGCUUUUGUGGUGGCAUUGCUUGGAAGAAGGCCAAUCAUCAUAGUUGAACUUUUUUUCCAAACCUUUAUUUUUGGUAGAAAGACUUUGUUGGCUUUGGUGUUGGAAGAAAGGCAAUCAACAAAUCUCUUUUUAUUUUUCCUUUUUAUCUUUUGGACAAAAAGGGAAGUUUAGGAUAUUUGAAGGAAGUGGUAGCCUAUUGGGCCUAUUUUGAAGCAUAAAUAGUGAAAGCAAGGGAGGUGAGUGUAAUUUUUGAAAUCUAAGAAGAGAUUCCUGAAAUUGUUAGAGAUCUCAAAGGAGGUUUCUGAAAUUAUCCCAAAAUUUAAACUAGACAACUAAAGAAAAUGAAUAACAUUUUGUGAUAUAUAUUAUGAAAAAUAUGAUUAGCACUCCCCCUUUUGUUAACCACACUCCACUACCCAUUUUUUCUAGCCACGAGACUGCAAUGUCUGUGCCUAACUUAAAUUCUUGUGCAUGACUCUCCCAAAAUAAAAGAAUCAAUUUAUGCAUGGCCUUACCAAAACCAAAACAUCCUCUGUUUCUCUUGCAUGUUUAGCAAUGUAAUUAAAAAUUCUGUUCAGCAAUGUAGAAAAAAAUUUACAAAGCUACAAGAUGCCAGAAACCAAUUUUCAGCAACAUAUAUAACGUCCAACACUUAAAUUUAAUGCCUAGCUUAAAUAGUAUUAAAAACUCAAUACAACGCCUGAUAAAGGGUACGCAUCAAAUACUACUGAGAACAGCUUAUCUAGCCACCAUAAUGAAAAUGAAACUCUAUUGUAUGCUUCUAUCAAAAGAAAACAAAUUCUCGUAUAGGGAGAGGGAUGAGUUAGAUGAUAGAAGAAGAGAGGGUACUAUAAAUAAAAAAUUUCGAAUUCGAGACAUCUCGUUUACAUUUAAAAAAAAAAACAAAAGCAAAAACAAAUUCUCGUAUCAAGACAAUGCACUAGUAACCUUAUAUAUGCUCAUGAAGCACCUGCAAAAUUGUAGCUUGAAAUAAGAAUUUGAUUUGAGAAAUGAAAACAAGUAAUACGGACUAACAACAAAGAAGCAAAAGCUAUAAUUUUUUUACAUUUUAGACAUGUACGACAAUUAUGUCUAACUUUCUUACGUGUAUUAUACUUGUGAUCAUUUUCGACAAACUCAAAAAUUGAUGGAUCUCGAAGCGUGGGCUUGUAUCUUUUCUCUUUUUGCAUUUGAGGGCCUUUGUCUAUUUGAAUAAGUCAUAGAUUCACUAAUUAUUGGAAGAGAAAGAAUAAGUUGGCAUACUUGCCUUUGUGUAUCUUGUUCAUGUUAUCACUUUGAUCUUCUAAGCCUCCACAUGCAAGUAAACAACCUCAUGUCAUCUCCAUUGUUGGGGUUCCUUCAAGAAGAUAAGAGGUUAAGGUUAGGGAACAAUGAUCGGAAAAACAAAACGAGAAGAUGAAAAAAUUGAUAGCUUACAAUGACUAUCACAAAUUUACCCAACAAACGAAAAAAGAAAAAGACAAGAAACUAUCACAAAUACAUCGCCAGGAGAAAUUUCUCCAUUGGGUGCUCCAUAGAUUUCUUGGUAUAUUGAAGUUGGAAUACACCAGAAAGCUUUGAAAUUUUCUUGCCUUUUUUGUAUGUUUGGAAGUGCUUCUACUGAAACUAUAGCCACUUAAUCUUGCUAAAUAUUGACAAGUUUCGAGAAAAUUAAUAAGCGAGUGUCAAUUAGCUUGGCAACCCUAUUGUAGUCCUGUACUAAUCUCAGGAGUUAUGUUGCAGAGAUUAGGUAAUUAGAAAGCUUCUCCUUUGACAAAGGCAAUCAUUAUAAACUGAAACUUUUAGUUUGCCUCCUAAUGUGGAUGUGAGAAAUAAAAUCUAUCUUCCAUCUCCCUUCUCCACAACUUAUCCUCCGCCUUUUAACCUUUUCAUGAUCUCUAGCUAGGUGACAGGAGAAGAAAAAAUGUAGAUCUUUGAAGAACUUAAAAUAAAAAUUAAAUAUGAAAACAAUUUGAAACUACGAAGUAUGUGCACUUUUUGGUAGGCUGUGAGGAAUUCAAAUAUUGAUUAAAAAAAUUAAAAAUUCUACAUGGACUUAAUCAGAUCACAAACCUUGCUUAAUUCAUCAAUAUCUUCAACUUGAGAGCUGUCUUCCAGAGUUGAUUUGGAAAGCCCUAAGUUCUAUUUUGAGAUUUGCUUAAUUCAUCGAUAUAUUCAACUGGAGAGUUGCCUCCAGAUUUAUUUUGGAAAGGUCUGAGUUCUAUUUUGAAGAUAGGAAGCUGAAAAGAAACAAGGGAUGUGAGUCUUUGAAGUUUGGCUUUGGUAAGGUCAGUCAUAAAUUUCUUCUUUUGUUUUGAUACAGUCAGGCAUGACAAAGAAAGUUCGGCCUGGACAUGAUAGAAAAAAUAGGUAGCAAGAGUGUGAUUACUUUUUAUUUUUUUACCUGCAAGUAUACAGACUGACUGAAUCAAAGGAUCAAAGGAGUGCCCUAGCACCAUCUUUGAAUUUUUUCUAAAGCAAGUGAGGUUUGAAUCCCUGAUCUACGCUCAAAAAGGGAUCCCUUUUUGAUAGCCACUGAGCUAAAGUUCAAUGAUUAAGAAGAGUGUGAUUACAAUAAAUGAAGAGUGUCAAUAUCAUUUCUCAUCAUUAUAACUAUAUGUUAUAGGUAGAGGUGUCAAAAUGGGUGACUUGGGUGGGUUUGGGUUGGGUAAAAUGGGUAAUGGGUAUAAGUGAGUCAACUCAUUUAUACCCAUUUAAUUAUAUGGGUAUAAAUGGGUAAGUCAAAAAAUGAAUUGGGUAACCCAAUUACCCAUUUAUAACUCAUUUAUUUUAACUUUUUGCAAACUUAUUUAAAUUCAUUUUUGCAAACUAAGUUAUCAAUUUAUACCACUCUUUGUACCCAUCAUUAGUUUUAAAUAUUUACUUAUAAUGUUCAAUAAACUUAAUUACCAAUUUUUUUCAUUUAUACUCUAUAUCACAAAAUUACCUAUUAUUUAAUAAUUGAAUAAUACGAAUAUAAAAAUUUGAAUUAAGUACUAUAAAAAUUAAUAUAAAAACUUAAUCCAAAAAUUUUGAACCCCUAACAUUUUUUUCAUAUAUAAAUUUAAAAUUUCAUUUUAUAAAGAUAAGAAAAUAGACUAAAAUUUAUCAUAAAUUGGUAAUGCUAAAAAAUGAGCAAAUUAACAAACUAAGAAAAAAUAAAAUAAUAAGAUAAAACCAACAAAUAAUAAUAAUAAUAAUAAUGUUAACAUCAUGACAAAAUGAAAAACUUGACAAAAAAAGGUAGGGGAAAAGAAGAGACUUGGGGGGAAGAGAAUUUUAAAUGGGUUAAUUGGAUUUGAUGGGUUACCUAAUAAUACCCAUUUAAUAAAUGGGUAUUAUUGGAUAACCCAUUUAUACCCAUAUACAAAAAUUUAAGAUACCCAUACCCAUCUAUUCAUGAGCGGGUAUGGGUAAAUCUAGUUAAGUGGGUUGAUUUGCCACCUCUAGUUAUAGGUGAAAGUAAAUAUAACAAAUUACUAGGAUUUGCAUGAAAGAUUAUACGAUGUCUUUUUUAUUGAUCACACAUAUAUACGAUUUUUAAGUCACCGCUUUGAGCCAAGACAUGUAAAAGACACUUUGCAUGAAGUACUGUUUCAAACCAGCCAUGAGAACUAACUAAUUAGAAGUUGUAAAGAAAUCUCAUAACUUUCCUCGUGAUUGAAAGUCCCAUGUUUUUCAUUUUCUAAAGUCCCAAAAUAUUUGUUACGUAUACAAAGUUAAACAACUUUUGAAAUUUUUUUUCCAUUAUUAGUCCUUGUCCAAUUAUUUUUUAGAUGACACAUGCAAUUCUGAUUAGGAUAAAUUACAUAUAACCCCCCGGUGGUUUCAUCUAUUAUCACUUAAUCGUCCUAAUGUUUCAAAUUAAAAUAUCCACUUUACCUGUCUAUAGUUUUAUGUAAAGUGAAAACUUACAGAAAAUAGCCCAUAUAAUGUUGUUAAUUGAAAUACCAAUAGUAUCCUUAUUUAAAGGCUAAAUCAAUUGACAAUUUAAUUUUCUUGUAUAAAAGUAUAGGGAGAUUACGUGAAUAAAUGCAAAAAUUACAGAGAGAUAAAGUGAAUAUUUAUACAUAUCAUAAGUGAAUUACAUGGAGAUUAAGAUUUUAUCACACGUGCUUUUAGAGUGCGUUGUUUAUUCCAUUUAUUUUUAUUUUACAUAAAAUCAUAGGAGAGUUAUGUGGCUAUUUUGAAACUUUAGGAGGUCAUCUAACAUUAUGUAAAAUUACAUGAGGAUUAUAAGUGAGUUACCCUUCCAAUUAACACUCUGGGGGCAAAAUUAAAAGCAAUUGAGUAAGAUCAUGAUCAAAUUAAUACUAGAUUUUAGAAAAAUGAGAGUCAAACUAGGAAGGAGAGUAAAAGAAUAAAGUACCCGAGAAUACUGUGUCAAAGAAAUAAAUAUAUGAAAAUGAUUUGAAAAUAGAAUCAAUAAAGGAUUACUAUAACCUAUUUAAUCAAAAGAAAACCUCUUCUAUUCUUCGUAUUCAACAAUGGAGGAAAGGAAUGGAACUUGAUACAUGUAUAGAUUUAGACUGACUUGAGAAUGAAAAAUCUCUCAACUAUGUCUCUUUCUGGAGUUCCUCCAAUACUUGAAUAUACAAGGGUGUGUUUUGGUUUUCAAUCCAAGGGAGAUUCUAAAAUUACCAGGGAAAGGAAAAUGAAGGGUUUGAGAGGAAAAUAGAAAUCUCAUGGUCACAUUUCUAACAUCCUUGUUAGCUGAGCUGAUAGGAAAUAUUUGUUAAAUUGUAAUCCAUUUCUAUAUUGCUCCCACUAUUUCUAGUUCCUUGUAAUAUUAUCAAAAAAAUUAUUUUAGUCAAUAAGAAUUGCAUAAUUUUUCAUUUCAAUUUUGACCAAUUGACUAAAAAUACUUCUUCAAAGUAUUCAUUAUCUACAAAACCUACUGAAAGAUUUUAGUACAAACACAUCUUGGAGAGUUCAUGAAAUGGAGGUUUCAAGUGGUGCUUCCAUACCCCUAUAGUCGCUCGAAUUCUCUCAAAUAAGAGAAGCAUGUAUCUCUCACAAACACAACAAAGUUAAAGAGGGGGGAAACAUUAAAGAGGGGGAAAAAACAGGUUAUAACAAUAAUAGUGGCUCAAACAUGCAAAUAACAGGCUUAAAAUCUCCAGAAGAGGUAAAAAUUAUCAAAAGUUAAUACUAGAGGACGUAUACUGACCAUAUUGACAAUCGUCACAGCAAUUCAAGAACAUAGCAAGGCUGCAAGUUCAGCUAGUUAAUAGAGCGACUAAAAGGACCUUGUACAUACUUUGAAGGGUUAAGAUCUAGGUUUUGCUUUGAAAAACAGCUUUAAAAAACAAAAGAAGAGCUCCACCAACAAAAGAAUGCUUAUAUUUAAAGAGAUUCAUAGUGCAGAAGAAAGCUGUACUAUAUGUGAAAACUCAUUCAAGCACGAUUGCAAGUAAACUACACUAGCUGCUCAUACAGGAAAGGAGAUGUAAACAAGUGUUGCCACACUUAAGAUGUCCUUGAUCAUGUUUAAUCAUGGCCAUACACUGCAGGUAAGUAUUAGAUUGAGUUUGUGAAAAAUACUGGGAUCU
rnacentral:lncRNA from 1 species